rnacentral:lncRNA from 1 species
CUUAAAUGACAAAAUUAACCUAAAUAAAUAUUUUAGAGCGCAUUUGUCCAGAUGAAAUAAAUAUUUUACUUUUAUUUAAAAUUGAAGAAACUUAGGAUUAAAUUUAGUCGUGGAGGCUAAAAAUUAGGUGUCUAUAGGGACAUGCCCCCGACCAUAGCCUAAACCAAAGUUUAUGGCAUGAAAAAAGUAUGUAGAGAAAUCCAAAACAUGAAAUGGAGCCUUCUGGAGUAUGGAAGCUCACCACUUCAAUCCAACACAAAGCUGUCCCCAAAUCCAAUCACUGAAUAGGAGGAAUAGUAUGGCCGGUUUCUGCAUGGCAUAGGGAUACAACGCCCGAAGAUGGGUUAGUGGGUGAAUACUGGCAUGUACUCAGGAGUAAGGAUAAAAUAAUAUCAAUAUCUAAAACCAAGUAAAUAACCAUGUGCAAUCACACACACACACACACACAUAUAUAUAUAUAUAUAAUUCAUGCCGGGAAAGGGAACUGGGUUUAACAUACAUUUAAAACCUUUAACCUGGGUUUAUGUAGUUUUACCGUCAUAAUCCACCCAUGGGCUAUAUGGGUACAGUAUUACCCCCUGAACGGGCCCCAGUGCGUGUAGUCGCACGAACCCGAGAUAUCAUAGGGGCUGGGGAUUCCCAUGUACCCUUCGCCCUCUAUGAUAAAUAUAUACAAGUAUAACUUAGGGUAUUCCCAUAUACCCCACAAGUAUAAGGUCACCAUGACUGACCCUCAUUUCAGCAGAUCUGAGUUUUUAGUGUCUAUCCAUCGAACUCACAUGUUCACGAUAAGCUAUCACAACCCGCUAUUAUUGCCCAAUUAAAAUCAUUAGUACAUAACCAACCAACCAAUUCUAGAAGUUAUUAACCAAGGCUUUAUGAAGUGGUAUUGUCAUACCGACUAUAGAUUACAGACAAUGUCAUUAGCUAACACUUAUGGGAUUCCUAUGUACACCACAUGAUUUUUAAUUUACCAAAACCAUGGCCACCAAGGCCUUAUCAAAUCAUUUAAAACCAUUUAAAUCAAUUUAGGUUCCAUUACCAUAUUAUGUAAUGCAAUAGUUUCCAUAAAAGUCAAAUCAUGUGACAAAACCAUUCUCAUAGGCAUUUUAACAAAUAUGUUGAGGGCAUAUGAUUUCCAAAACCAAAACCAAGUACCAAUUGACCAUUCCCAUACAACCACAUGUUCAAACCACAAUAUAAUAUGAAAAUCAUAAGUAUCCAUUUACAACCAAAACCCUCCAACAUAUAAUUCAUAACCAAACAAUACCCAUAAUUAAUUCAUGAAAACCACUCAUUAAAACAUGAAUUUAGUUGAACUAACAAUGAGGGAGGAGUAAUAUGCCUUAGAUACUAAAUAGCAUGGAGAGAAACCACACUUGAGAGCCUUAAUUGGCCGCCUUAAAGGAAAUCCUAGCCUCUUCUUAACCCAAGAGCUUGAGAGAGAUUUGAGAGUGUUUCUAGUAUUUUUGAUUGAGAAUAAUAGGGUAAAUAAAGUCCCAAAAGUGUUUUAAGUCGUGGGGUAAUAAUGGGUUAAUAUAGAAAAUAUCCAGAAUACCUCCAACUUAAACUAUAUAAAUUCCUGUAGGAGGGUACGACUAUACCACCCAAACUGUAGCAUAACAUACGAGUAGUGCAUAUUACUCAUACCUUAGGCAGCAACUUGGUCUUCAACACUAACCAACAUAUGACCAAAAAAUCCAACUCGUACCUAAGCAUGCGACAAGUACCGUAGAACCGUACCUUAGAUAGAAUAGAAUUGUCUAGGCUAGACAUAGGACAUCAUAUGACACUAUACUUCUAGUACCCUAACAUAUGAGUGGUAUGAAGUCCAUUCAUACCUUGGAAAAAACCAACCAAACCUCACUGAUCAAUAUAUGAGUUGAGGUCCCUAAACUGUACCCUAUCAUACAAGUACCCCCAAUCGUAUGAUGUUUAGUAGCUCAAACUCAAGAAAUUUUCUAAGGAUCAAAGCCUAGGGUGUUUCAAUUCUACCCCACUUGGAUCAUUCAUCCCUGAAUGAUGAAACAAGGAAGUACAAGCAUAAUUUAUACCCCACCACUCCAACUCUAACCUUUAAACAAGUUAGAAAACAAAGAUACAAGAAAUUAAUCUUUCCUUUAACUAAGUUAGAAAACAAAAGUAUGAUGGAGAUCACAUACCUUCCACACAAAUUUUCAAAGCAAAAAAUAGGAAUGGAUACUUGGAAUUCAUGUCCUCUUUUGCUUCAUAAGUAGCCUCUUCAACCUUGUGGUUCCUUUAUAGAACCUUGACUGAAGCUACAACCUUGGUCCACAAAUGACGAACCUGCCAAUCUAAAAUCUCAAUUGGGACCUCCUCAUAAGACAAGGAAUCCAAAAUACCAAUAUCUUUGAUAGGCAUAAUUUGAGACGGAUCGCCCAUACACUUACUCAAUAUAGAAACAUGGAAUACCGGAUGAAUAAAGCUCAAACUAGAAGACAACUCUAACUCAUAUGCUACCUUACUAACCCUUCUCAAUACUAUGUAAGGACCAACAUACUGGGGAAUAAGCUUUCUCUUCUUACCAAACUGCAUCACUCCCUUCAUGGGAGUUACUUUCACGCACACCCUAUCCCUAGCCUCAAAAUCUAAUUCUCUUUACCUUACAUUUGUAUAGGACAUUUGGCAAAUUUGGGCAGUAUUAAGUCUAUUCCAAAUCACCUUAACCUUGUCCAUGGCUUGGUGAAACAAAUUUGGACCAAACUUUUUUGCCUCACCAACCUCGAACCACCCACUAGGAGAUCUACACCUCCUACCAUAUAAGGCCUUAAAUGGGGCCCUCCCAAUGCUAAAAUGGUAACUAUUAUUGUAAGAAAACUCUACAAGAGGUAGAUUCUCAACCCAACUACCACCAUAGUCAAUCACACAUGCAUGAAACAUAUCCUUCAAUGUCUAAAUAGUUCUCUCUACUUGCCCAUCUAUCUGUAGAUGAAAAGCAGUACUCAGACAAACCUCUAUCCCCAUCCCUUUUUGAAACAACCACCAAAAGUGAGAUAAAAACUAUGUACCAUGAUAAGUGAUGAUAAAAAUAGGUACCCCAUGCAACUUCACAAUCUCUUAGAGGUACAACCUCACAUAAUCUUCAGCCAAAAAGUUAGUCCUCACUGGAAAGAAAUGAGCAAACUAAUUUCAAGACCGAGGAAGACCAGUAAUGAAAUCCAUGUCGAUCACUUCCUAUUUCUACUCUGGCAACUAAAUUUCUUGAUACAAUACUCUAGGCCUCAUGUGCUCAACUUUCACUUGUUAACAAACCAUACACUUGGCCACAAAAUCUGCCAUAUUCCUUUUCAUACCAUUCCACUAAUACAUCUCCUUGAGGUUAUGAUAUAUUUUUGUCGAACCAGGAUGUAUAACGUAACGCGAAUCAUGCAACUUAGCCAAUAUCCUCUCUCACAAACCAUCGACAUCGAGAACAUAUAAUCUCUUUUAGUACCACAAAGUACCAUCACUACUAAUCUCAAAGGCCAUCGCCUUAUGCCCACCAACAUCAUCCUUGAUCUUCAUCAAUACAAGAUCUAACACUUGCUUCUCCCUGAUUUCAACACCCAAAGAUGACUGCGCCACUUUCUGAACAAAUAUACCACCAUCCUUAGAGUCCAAGGGGAAAAAUCUAAGGUUAGCCAAAUGGUGAAUGUCCUUCAUCAAUUCUUGCUUCUCUUUAUCCACAUGAGCUAGACUCCCCAUGGAUAACCUGCUAAGAACAUUAACAAACAUAUUAGCUUUACCUGGAUAGUAGUGAAGACUCAUGUCAUAAUCCUUGAGAACCUUAAGUCAUCUUCUUUGUCUGGGGUUAAACACUUUCUGAGUAAACACAUACUACAGGAUUUUAUGAUCAGAAAAGAUAUCCACAUAUACUCCAUAGAAAUAGUGACGCCAAAUUUUCAACGCAAACACCACAACUAGCUAUUUCAAAUCAUAAGUUGGAUAAUUCCUCUCAUGCAGCUUCAACUAUCUAGAGGCAUAAGCUACCACCUUUCCAUGCUAUAUCAAAACACACUCGAGCCCUAUAUGGGAUGCAUCAAAAUAAACCACAAACUCAUCCAUGCCUUCAGGAAAAGUUUAAACUGGAGCUAAAGUUAGCUUAUCCUUCAGCUUCUCAAAAUUAUCCUCACAAGCAUUAGACCACAAAAACUUUACCUUUUUCUGAGUCAACUUAGUCAACGGAGAAACUAUAGAAGAAAAUCUCUCUACAAACCUCCUAUAAUAACCCGCUAAACCCAAGAAGCUCUGAAUAUCAGUUGGAGUCGUGGGUCUAGGCCACUUCUUAACCACUGCAACCUUUUUACGAAUCCAUCAUGAUCCCUUCUCUAGAAAUAAUAUGACCCAAAAAAGUGACAACGUCCAACCAGAAUUCAUAUUUUGAGAAUUUGGCAUACAACUGUUGCUCCUUCAAGGUCUACAACAAAAUAUGGAGGUGAUCAACAUAAUCCACCUUACUCUUAUAGUACACUAAAAUGUCAUCUAUAAAUGUAAUGAUAAACAGAUCCAAAAAUUGAUGAAAAACCUUAUUCAUCAAAUUCAUAAAUAGCGCCGGGGCAUUGGUCAACCCAAAAGACAUAACCAAAAACUCAUAAUGCUCAUACUGGGUACAGGAGAAAGUCUUAGGGAUAUCCACCUCUCUAAUAUUUAACUGAUGGUGCCCAAAUUGAAGAUCAAUUUUGGAGAAAAACUUAGCUCCCCAUAACUGAUCAAACAAGCCAUCUAUACUUAGAAGAAGAUACUUAUUCUUUAUCGUCACCUUAUUGAACUGUCGGUAAUUAAUACAUAUUUAAAGGGAACCAUCCUUUUUAUGCAUGAAUGACACCGGUGCACCCCACGGGGACAUAUUAGGAUGGACAUACCCUUUAUGUAAAAAAUUAUUUAAUUGCUCCUUAAGUUUUUUCAACUCAGCUGGAGCCAUUCUAUACGAAGAAAUAGAAAUUGGACGAAUGUUCAAAACAAGAUCAAUCCCAAGCUCAAUUUCCCUAUCCGAAGGAACACCAAGGAGGUCAUUAGGUGAGACCUCAAGAAAUUCAUUUACCACUGGGACAGAAUGCAAAGAAAGACCCUCCGAGUUAGAAUCUUUAACCCGGACUAGGUGAUAGAGACACCCUUUGGAUAUUAAUUUUUGAGCUUUAAGAUAUGAUAAACUUCCCCUUAGAAGCUAAGGAACCACUCUCCCAUUCAAUAACCAGCUCAUUAGGGAACUUAAAGACAACUUUACGGGUAUGACAGUCUAGAGACACAUAGCAUGAGUGCUACUAAUCCAUCCCCAAUAUGACAUCAAAAUCCACCAUAUCUAAUUCAAAUAAAUCCACCAAGAUCUUUUUACUACAAACAGAUAUCACAUAUCCCCUAUAGAUAGUUUUAGCAAGAGUCACCAACCGGGGUAGAAAUAGAAAAAGAGUUCGAAAUACACUCGAGACCAAAACCAAAAUAUUUAGCCAUAAAUGUGGUAAAUAUAAGAGAAAGUGUACCCCAGAUAAAGUAAACAAUACACAUCACGAGAAAAAAGUUGUAACAUACCAUUCACAAUAUCAGGCGAUGCCUCAGACUCCUAUCAGGUAGUGAAAGCAUAAAGAUAGUUCCAACCAGUGCCAGAAUGAGAUGGUGUACCCUUUGGUGCUGGAGCUAAAUAUGAAGCAACCAGAACCUUGUUUGCUCCAGAGGCAACCUUACUAACAGGAUAGUUUCUAAGCAUAUAGACUGGAUAACCAUAGUUGAAGUACCUAUCCCUUCCCUCAUCACAGAAAUCCCUAUGCAAACAAUAAUAUAAUCUAUUGAAAGGAUAUGAUGGAGUUGACUAAGCCCCACUAGCCAGAUAUUAGGUACUAUGUGCCAUAAAUUUGUCGCCACCUUGGAAUCGCUUAUUAUCUGAUGGCUUUGGGUAUAGAGAACUAGCCAUCGAAUAAGUCCCAAAGUUGCCCUACUUUAUCUUAGGCCACUUAUCACCAUCCCUGCUACUCUGCUGUUAGCCACCACCCUGCUCAGAGAACCUAAACUUCUUUCCCUGUCUCUCCUCUAUUUUAGAAUGCUUCUUCUUCUCUUCUUCUACUUGUUGCAUGUAUAUAACCAACCUAGAGAUAUCCAUGUCCUUAAUUAACAAGGAAGCCUUACUCUCAAGAAUCAAAUCACUAGACAGUCCUAAAGCAAACUUUCUCAUUCGGGCCCUCAUGGUAGAAACUAACUUCAUAGCAUACCACGAUAACUAAUGAAAUUUCAAGGCAUACUCCUUGACUGACAUCUUACCUGUCUCAAAUUAACAACCUCUUCUUCCUUAGCCUCCCUUAACUCUUAAGAAAAGAAGCAGUCCAAAAAAGCAUUGGAGAAAUCCUCCCACAGAGAUAACUCAACAUUGUCACCCCUUAUCUGAUCCCAUUCCUUGUACCAUUGGUAUGCCAUAUAUUUCAGUUGAUAAGCUGUGAACUCCAUACCUUCCACAUUAGUAGCAUGCAUCACAAAAAAUCUUUUUCAUUUCAUCUAUAAAACCUUGCGGAUCCUUCUCCACCUUAGCACCCAUAAAGGUCGGAGGGUUCAACCUCAUGAACUGGAAUACCCUUAUAGCCUCAGAAGAUAGAGUAACAAGAACACCAUGCUCAGACUAGGUUGGUACUAAUUGUGCCAAUAUAUGAAUGGACUGACAAAACUCAGCAUUCAUCACUUCAACCUUAGGAGUCUGAGAAGGACUAGAGGGAACCAGUAUAACUUUAGAAUAAUUCAAAACUGGACCCCUAGACUGAGUUUGGAUCUCUUGAGUAGGGUGUGCCCCAUCCAUAUUAUCACCAGUUGGGACAAAUAAGUUUCUGUGAACUUUAGAUCAUCAAGGCAUGAUCUGAAAAAGCAGGAAAAUAGGAAUUAGAGAAGAUUCUAGGACUUAGACUCUAAUAUUGAAAAUAGAACAUAACAGAGAGAAACAUUCCUAAAUAUUUUAUAGCCUCUCCUUUAUGAGUGUGGCACACUACACACCCUUAAAAGAAACUCUACUCAACAUGACUUUGUGGAUUUCUAAGUGACCAUAAACCUAGGGCUUUGAUACCAAUCUAUCACAACCCGAACCAGGGCCUAGUCAUGUUGGGUGCCUCAAGCUCAACCAGACUGGAGACCACCCCUUAUACCCAAUCAUAACCACCCCACACCCAAUAUUGGAUGAAUUCCAAAUAUAUAUAACAUAAUAAAAUGGAACAAUCCUAACAUACGAGUGGUGUCUACCACUCGAACCCUAGGCAAUAACUUGGUCUCCAACAGUGGCCAAUAUAUGACCAUAAAGGCCAAAUCGUACCCAAGCAUAUGACAAGUACCCUAGAACCGAACCUUAGGCAGAAUAAAAUUAUCUAGGCUAGACAUAGGACAUCAUACGAUUAGUACUAUAAUUUUAGUACCCUAACAUAUGAGUGGUAUGAUGUCCAUUCGUACCUUGGAAAGAAACCAACCAAACCUCACUAAUCAAUAUAUGAGUUGAUGGCCCUAAACCUACUCUAUUAUACGAUAAGUACCCCCAAUCGUAUGAUGUUCGGAAUCUCAAACUGAAGAAAUUUUUUAAGGAUUAAACCCCACAGUGUUUUAUUUAAUCAUCAAAACCAAAAUAAAAAUCUAAAAUAACCGAAUCAAAUUUAUAGAAAUUGAAUGAAAACCAAUUUUAUUUUGAUUUAGUUGUGAUCUUGUCACGACCCAAAAAUAAUAGGUCAUGAUGGUACUCAUCACGGCGAACCUUCGCGAGUAAGCUUAUUACCCAAACUGAUAGAUAAAGGGUAAAAAAGACAGAAAAAACUCCAAGUCAAGGAUUUUAGAAAGAAGUCAAUCCAUAUAAGUAUAAAAAAUGCGAAAAGAAUAUAAUCAACAAUAUGAUCCGGGUUAAAGAGUCAUCUAGCACUCGAGGACAUGAAGACGUGAGUGAAGACCCGAGCUUGUGGGGUUUCCCAUACAAAGAACAAGCUUUGAAGUGUUGAGAACAAGUCCCAACACUCCAAAAUCGUCCAAGGAGUACACUACAAGGCCGUCUCUUUGUUUGGGGUCAUUAAGGGCCUUUUGGUCAUUUGUAUAAUAAGUGUUGCCCUAGUCUAUAAAUAGAACAUUUAGGUUAUUUUGUCAUUUAGAACUUUGAUGAUAUAUCUUGUAAAUUCAUUGAGAGUGUUUGGCAAGGUGGAAUCCUUGUGGCAAGGUGGAAUCCUUGUGUUGUUAACUUGCUUUGAAACAGUGGUUACUUGGGAGUUUCGAUUCCCUUGAGGUCUCCGUAAGAGUGUAGGUGUCUUGUAUUCAUGUUUUUUGUGUUUUGAUGUUCAAUAUACAUCUUAGUACCUAUAACGUGUAGUACAUUAUGUCUCACGAUCUAUCCUCUUAGUUAUAGUCAUCUUAUUUUCCAUUUUGUGUUGCUUGUUCAUCUCAUGAUAGUGGACUAUUUUGUGACAUUUCGUCGGUUGUUUUAGCACUUCAUAGGUUGUUCUGAUAUUAUUUGGUAUCAAAUCCAUCAUUGAUUUUGUUCCCAUGAGAUCAAUCUUGGGUUUGUUCACUCAAAAAUUUAAAAAAAGUGUUGAAAACCUGAAAAACUCUAAAAUAGUAAUCUGUCCAUGUUUUUGUGUUUAGGGCAAAAUUUAAAGCCUAGUUUUCUUGUGAUUUUUGUGUGUUUUGUGUGUUCUAGUGUUAUAUCUUUAUUUCUUAACAUUAUAAGAGGUUUCCAAGGUCAAAAAUCUCACAAAAAGAAGUUAUUCUACGGGUUUGGUGUCUUGGCCGAAGUAUUAUUGUUGUUUGGCCGAAUUUGUGUCUAGAUUUAGGUGUUGUUUUGAUUGUAUUUGUUGUUUCUUGUGUUGGUUUUAUUUUUAUCUAACACUAUUUGAGUCUAACCCAUGUUCCUGAGCAAAAAAAAAAUUACAAGUUGUUGUGGGAAGAGUGGACGGUUUUAUUGUUGUUGUUGUUGUUGGAGUUGUUGUGUUAUGUAUAAAAAGUCUUGUAAAAGGUUUUUGUUUGAUAAACAUUCAAAGGGAAGAUAGUGUGGGUUUGUUUUAAUACAUUACCAAAGGGGAAAAAGAACAAAAAACCUCCCAAAAGUCUUCAUACCAAAAGGGAGUAAAUUUAUUUUUUAUAGAUAAGCCAAAAGAGGAAAAGGGGACAAGAUCUCCAAGAGGAUGUCUUGCCAUUUGGUGCAAGUAGGUGAAAGAAUUUAUGAGUUGAAAGUGGAGUAUAGAACUUGUUUGUCCCAUACCUGGGCCAAAAUUCUCCUCUUCCAUACAUGAAAUUGAACAACUAGUUUCUUGAAACAAAAAUUUUCAACUUCAACCAUAUUCCGACGUCCAAUAGUUAAGUGCCACAUCAUCAUAGAGCUCAAGAACAUUGGAUAUUAUAGUUUUACUUUCUUGUUUCCAUUAGUUUCAAUUUUUUUGAUUCUCAUGCUACUUUGUAAACUAGUAAAUACCUACUAGGUUGUAGAUUCAUUUUUGAGUACGUUUUCUUUCGUGUUAAGCAUUGUAUUGUGUGCUUUUCUCAUUUUUAAGUCGUAGUAUUUUCUUUGGUCCAAGUUCAAACAUCAUUUAUUGAGUUUUUUCAAACAAGAAUCUACUCCGACCUCAAACCACAAUUGGGAUAAAGUAACCUCAUUGGAGUAUAAGCGAGUUAUCAACACAUGUGAGGCUAAUAGAGUGAAUACUUCAAAAGUGACUGCUUGGGAGAUUGUGGACUAUUUUAAGAUGAAUUGUGGACUGAUUUUUGCUAACCUUUAAUGUGUUUGCUAUUUUGUGUUAUUUGUUUAGUAUUUCUUGAUAGGUACAAUGGCGGAUGAAGGUGAAAUGCCUAGUUGUUUUAAAUCCAUCCUGGAAAAGCUUGAUAUCAUGGAUAGCCGAUUGGGAUCUUUGAAGGGAAAAUAGAGAGAGUGAAAGGAUAAAUGGAAAGAAUAAUGGAUAGAAUGGAAGGAUGAAUAGAAAUGAUGGAGAGCUCUAUUUGCAAGAAGUUGGAUAACUUGAUAUAGCAUCAAAGCAUUCCUAAUCCAAUUCCCAUGAGUGGCCAUGCUCCACAUGAGCUACUAGGUAAUCAAACUAACUCUUGCGCUCUAGUGAAUAAGGUUAAUAACCAUCUUAGUGUAAAUGAUAGUUUAUCUUUUGGUGAGUCGAAUGUUCCUUUAUUUUGUGAUGAUAAUGCACAACUUAAGAUUGUGGAUACACUAGUUGAUCCACCUAGUGUUGAAGACAUUGUGGCAAGUGAUAGUACAUUGUCUUAUGAAAGUCAUAAAGACCAACUUGUGUGUUAAAAUGGUGAUGUUGAACAUGUUGUCUAAUUGACUAAGGAUAACUUCCUAGUUGUUUUUGUUGUAGAUCAUGAAAGUGUAGAGGGAAUAUUUGAUCAUAAUUGUAGUAGUAUUGGGGUAGGAAAGUGUGUUCCCAACCCGUUCCCUUUGACACUCCACCCAUUUGACCCAAGUGAUCAUUUGAAAUAUGGUGAUGAUGUUUUUUGGAAUGACUUGAAUGUGCAUGGAAUGUAUGGUUUUCCUAUCUCAGCUUUCAAGCCUAUUUGUUGUUCCAAGAAGAGUCUAAGUUUUUCACUUGAUAAAAAACUCUUGUUCCUUGUUUCUUGUUAUACUUAUGUGGGUUGACUAAUUUAUUCUUUCUUAGAAGGGUAUUCGGGUAAGAAGGAUGUUUGGUUGUAUGUGAAGUUUGAUCCACCUUGGAAAGAUGUUAUGAUUGAUAUCACUAAUCCUAACCCUCAUACCUGGAGAAACUUGUUUGCUUGUCCUUCCUAUUAUUUUGCAAGGUUCAUAUUUGAGGAUGAAUGCUUUCCAAGGAGAGGAGGAUGAUAUGGGUCAAAGAGGCAUCUUAGCACUCGAGGACAUGAAAAUAUGAGUGAAGACCCGAUCUUGUGUGGCUUCCCAUCCAAGGAACAAGCUUUGAAAUGUUGAGAACAAGUCCCCACACUCCAAAAUCAUCCAAGGAGUACACUUGUAAGACCCCGUAAAAUUCCUAAGCUUAAUUCAGUCCUUUAAGCUUGUCAAGGGGGUCUUAGACUUGGAAAAGACUAGCUAAGUUUCCAGACUUAGAUUAUUUUUGGCUUUCGAAAGUUAGCAAUCUCAUUUUGCGACCUUAAUGUCUUUUAAUGGUUGGUAUUCUUGCUAAUUCAUAAUCAGGAAGGUCAAUAGGUGUUCCCAAACAAGUUUCAGAUUUUUCAGACCUCAUUUAGACCAUAUUUGGUGUCCCAAAGCAGUGGAACAAUGCGAUCUUGGCGCGCCACGUCACCUAUCAUAUUGGUUAACAUUGUUGUAGGUUGCCAGAGCCAAAAUUACUAAGGCUUGGUAUGAUCAUGGCACGAUGCAUCAAGUAUCGGUCGGUGCAAUUGAUGCACCGCGUCACCAAUCGCGUCGAUACACAAUUUUUAGUUGUUAAAUGUCCGCAUCUUUAAGGGCAAAAGGGUCAAUUUCUCACCCCUAUAUAAGCCUAUAACACGAGAUUCAUCUAGGUUUUCACCAAGAUAUAGUUUCUCAAAUUUGCUCAAGAACAAGUCUAGGGUUUUCAAUUGAAGGUUCUAAUCUAGGAAAUUCCAUAGUUAAUCUUAAAGAAACUUCCAUCCAAGGUAUGUCAAGUGUUGAUUCAUGGGUUCCUUUCACCCAUGAAGCUCAAGAAACCCUUUCAAAAAUAUAAAUUUUGAAUUUCAUAUUAUGAAUUGAAUCAUAUCCAUGUUUAUGUUGUUGAUGAUUACCAAGUUGAAAUCAUUAAUACAUAUAAUGAAAUUAUGUUAGCAUAUGGUUGGAAUUCUUGAAUUUGAAGUGAAAACUAUUACCAUGAUAUAUUAUUUUAUUGUUCAUGCCUAAGCCUUAAGUUAUGCAUUAAAGGUAUUUGCUAAAAUGCCUAAGAGAAUAAGAAUUAUGCUUUGUGACUCAAUUGUGACCAAAUUGAUGAAUCCAUGCUUUACCCUUAUGCCCAAAAUGACCUCCAUGUUAUUUUUAUGCAUUGUAAUGGUUUGGAGGAAUGCUCAUGAGAUUAGACUUAUGAAAUUAUGACAUGUUUAUAUGUAUUCCUAUUCAUGUGUAAGCUUAUGACAUACAAAUACUUCAUGAAAAUCUCCAAAGUUUGUAUUAUGAAUUGUGGCCUAUGGUUAUGUAUUCAAAGAAGUGUCAUGUCUUGUUAGUUUCAUGCAAUCGAGUCCUGGGGGUACUUGUACCCGAUAAUUUAGCCAUGAUUCAUAAUACAUGACUCAGGAAAACUUAGUAAAUUCAGUAUCAGUCCAGUCCUUCAUAGUACUCAGUAAUCUCAGUCAGUUAUCAGAUCUCAGUAGUAUUUUGUCAGUCAACAAAACUUAGUGAAAUCAGUCUAGUUUAGUCAGUAACACGAUCAGUGACAGCUCAGUAAAGCCUAGUAUGAACUAGGAAAUUAGUUCAAUGUCUAUUCAGUUGGGAUUAGGAUUCAUAUAAUGCCCCGCAUCAUCAAUGCGUUAGCUCAUGGUAAUAUUUUCUUAGAGUUAAAUGACUAGAAUAGUGUCAAAGAGACUUAGUCUCAUUUUUUUUGACUUCCAAAGUGAGUAAAGUUUAAAGCAUAUAUAAUUUCCCUAAUUUCUACUUUUUAUCAUGUGGUAAAUUGAAUAAGCUUUCCAUCGAUAUAAUAUUCAUCCAAAUAUGAUAUCCGGAUAAAAAGUUAUGGCUAGUUUAUGUCCUAGUCAUAAAACACUGUCAUUUUGGUGCUAGGCGCAUCGCGGAGGGGUUCUACUUAGAAAUUGUCAAAUUCUAGUAGCCAAGAAUGAUUGUGGCAUGUUGCGCUAAAGUUUUAGGUCCUAACCAACUGUACAAUGUGAUGUCUUCACAUUGCGGUGACAUUAAGAAUCCCAUUCAUUAAUUUCCAGUGAGGCACCGCAAUUGUGGCACAUUGCGGUGGCCCAUAAAACUGGGCUCCCAGUUAUAUUUUAUUCUGUAUUAUUAAGGUUAUAUUGGGUAUUUUUCUACCCCCUUAUUAUCUUAAACAUGAGAUUACACUCCCAAGUGACCACAUUAUUUAUAUUUUCAUCAAAAAUUCACAAGAACACUCUCUAGGGUUUCAAACUAAAAAAACCAAAUAACUUAAGAUUUAAUCGUGGCUUUUCAAGAUUGAUUAAAGAUCCCGAAUCCCCAAACCGUAGGCUUCAAUAAUCAUCCAUUAUUUUUGGUAUUGAGGUAAGUGGGGUUUUCCUAAAAAUCUCAUGGUUAUAGAAAUCAUGAUUUUAAGAAAAGGGAUUUAGAUUUAUGAUUUAUAAUCAUAUUUUAGAAGUCUCAAUGAGAUUGUUUUGGUCUUUAGGCCUUUCCCUAAAUUGAUUUGAAAUUCUAUAUAUAUAUGCAUAUGUUUAAGGAUGAAUAUUUAAUUGAGAGAAUGGAUUAUAAUGAAUCCCUCUCUUGAUAUGAUUUUUCCCAUUAUUCAUAUGAUAUGGGUUGUUUUGAAAAGCAUGAUAUGAAAGGUCUUGAUUUAUACUAUGAUUUGAACAUGAUUGUAGAAUCAAAAGAGAGGGUUUUACAUGUAGAUAAAUGUUGAAUAUAGAUAUAAUGAAAGAGUUCAUGGUUUUGCAAAAAGCACAUGACCACCAUAUGUUUGAAGAAUUCUUGCAUAGUUUUGACUUAUGUUUCGGAAUAUGAAAUCUCUUAUACUAUUUGCAUGUUUGAGUGGUCUGAAUUGAGUUUUGAAGAAAGAAUCAUGCAUGAUAUAUUAUGGCUCAGAAAAAGGACUUGAAAGUUUUGUUCUGACGACACCAACUCAGAUAAUGCCAUGUUAAUUCAGAAUAGAAUAAAAUGCAUGUUUGAAAUCAGAUUUUCAGAUUUUUGAAACUAGAAUGAUGUAUGUUUCAAAACAGAAGAAAAUUGGGCAUAAAGAGAAGUUAGGUAGUUCCCCGAAGAAGGCACGAGUUCAGACAAAUCAUUGCCUAAAACCGUGAUUUGUUGAUCCGGGUAUAUUAUUAUAUGCUGGCCUAGUGCCCUGUGGCGUAUCAGACUCAACACUCCAACCCUUACAGCACACUUGGGUUGGGGGUUUCCCCGCCGAGUCAAUGGCGGAUUCCAUAUAGCCCGUGGAAUAUAAUAAUUUUAAGAGAGUGCCACCUAACUCAGAAGUAAUACAAAGAUCAGAGGCUGCAUUGACAGAAAAUUUUUAUGACUAUCAAAGAUGCCCAUGUGUUUUGGAAUUUAUAUCGUAUGUGAUGUUUAUGACUCGCUCUCAACUAUUUUAUUUAUAUUAAAAGCUUUAUUUUGGAAUUCUAUGCGUACCAGUACAUCUGUAUUGGCCCCCCUACCUUCUAUGUUCUGAGGCACAGUCUAGGGGUCCUGAUAAGCAGUAGAUUUCUUCAGAAAGAAGUGCAGGGUCUAGUUGGUAAGCCUUCUAUAUUUUAGAAGGCCUAGUUAUUUUUCAGACAUUUAUUAUCAGUUAUGAUUUUGGUCUACUGGGGCCUUGUCCCAAUUUUUAGAAAUUAUUAUUAGUCAUGUAGUAGUGAUUUUGCAGGCGGCUUUUAGAUGUCAUUAGAUGGUUUUUGAUUUCAUUUACCCUUGUUGAAAUUAUAUCAGACUUAUGACCAUGAUUUCGUUCUGUUAAAUAAUUUUGCAUUUUCCCUCUAUUAUAUGAAUGUUGUGCAUGAUUACGAGACAGUUAGGGAUGCCCGAGCGUUUAGGUUUGAGAUGUCCGUUAUGACUAUAGCCCUAGUUUGGGUCGUGACAAACUUGGUAUCAAAGCACGGUUCAAGGUCCCGAGGUGUCUGCAAAAUUGCAUUGGGUAAAGUUUUGUUUAUGGGUGUGUAGCGUGCCAUACUUAUAAGUAGGAGGAUAUUGGGCAUUUAGGAAUUUUUCCCCUCUUUGUAAUUUAGUUCGUACUUUGGAGUCUAAUCUGUCCUCUAAUCCAUGAUCUCUUGAAUUUUAGAAAAAUAAUCAUACCUCCCCGUCGUACUAUCGAUCAGAAUGCACAGACAGAUGAGGUCCAUCCCACCCAUGGGAUGAGGACCCGAAACAAAGCUUAGACUCUGGAGAUUGAUGCCACUUCGGGAGUUCCACUUACUCAAACCAUCCCACCUAGGGUGCCCUGAGCUCCCCAAAUGGGGACUAAUCGCACUCAAUCUCAUGAAAGAGAGGUAUCAAAUGCAGAAUUCAGACAGUCCAUUCACAUGCUUGCUCAGUUAGUAGCCACAUAGACUCAAUGGUCGAACGAUAUUGGGUUCCGCAUCGGUUAUAUCUGAGGCUACUAGGGUGGGUCAGUUUAUAAGAAUGAACCUGCCCAAGUUUUCGAGCCCCAAGGUAGAAGAGGAUCCACAGGAGUUUGUGGAUGAGAUAGAGAAAAUAUUCAAGGUGAUGCAUGUAGAUAGGUGGAAGGGGUGGAAUUGGUAGCUUACCAGCUUAAAGAAGUUACGAACCAGUGAUAUAACGAGUGGGAGGAUUCUAAGGGUGAGAGUACUGAGCCCACGGUGUGGGGCAAGUUCGUGGAAGCCUUCCUUGAUCAGUUCUUUCCCCUUGAGUUGAGUGAGGCCAAAGCCGAGGAGUUUAUAAACCUUAAGCAGGGAAAAAUGAGUGUCAAGAAGUACAUUUUGAAGUUCAACCAAUUGGCUCGUUAUGCUCUAGAGAUGGCUGGUAAUAUAAGAGCCCGAAUGAGAAAAUAUGCAUCUAGCCUUUCGGAUGACUUAGUUCUUGAAUGUAAGGGGACUAUGCUGAAUAUGGACAUAGACUUCUCUAGGCUGUCAGUGCAUAUGCAGCAGAUAGAGGAAGAUAAAAAUAGAAUUGCUGAAUCUAGGGAUAAUGAUAGACAAGCAAAGAGAGCCAGAACAGCGGAUCAGAACCACAAUAAGCCAUAGAAUGGUAAUUGGGGAAAUAAAUGGCAGAAGAAGAAGAAUUGGGGUAAUGCUCAGUCCGCAGCCAGCGCCCUAGCGCGCAAACCUCCAGUAGACCGACGACCUUAGAGUUUCCAAAGUAAUCAUGGAUCCAGAGCUCAGGAUACCCAGUCACAGGGCAGCAUAGGUCAGCAACAUCAUGUGUUUUGGUGGUGUGAGAGCUGCGGUAGGAAUCAUCUAGAGAGGUGUCAACUGGGUUCGCUGGUAUGCUAUUCAUAUAGUCAGUUGGGUUAUUUUAAGAGAGAUUGUCCUUCGGAUAGAAGGAUAUUGGUGGUACUAAAUCUUAAGAAAAUUCUUCCGCACCACCAUCGCCCUAAAAGGGUACUUCCUCAGCUACCGGGAGUGUUCGGAACUGGCUAUAUGCAUUGUCCAACUGCCAGGAGGCGGACGCCUCACCAGACGUAGUCAUCAGUACGUUACAAAUCUUUUCUCGUAAUGCUUAUGUAUUACUUGAUCCCGGGUCUACCUUAUCCUAUGUGACCCCUGAUGUGGCUAUCAGUUUUGGGUUUGAGCCCGAUGAAAUUUUGGAACCUUUCUCUAUUUCCAGUCUAAUAGAUGAUUCUUUAUGGAUAGGAGAGUGUAUAAAAACUGUCUGGUGACUGUUUGUGGUCGGGAUACCGUGGCAGACAUUAUAAACCUAGGUAUGAUUGAUUUUAAUGCUAUCCUAGGGAUGGACUGACUUUAUUCAUGCUAUGCCACAUUAAAUUGUAGACCCGAAGAGUCACCUUUUCUUUUCCGAAUGAACCAGUGAUAGAAUAGGAGGGGCAUUCUUUAGCACCUAAAGGGAACUUUAUAUCUUUUCUCAAAGCCUGUAAACUUUUCUCCAAGGGUUGUUUAUAUUAUCUUAUUUGGGUUAAAAAUUCUAAUGCCAAAAGUCUUUCUCUCCAGUCAGUCCCUGUGGUAAAUGAGUUUCCAGAAGUCUUUCCAGAUGAUCUCCCAGGAAUACCACCUGAUAGGGAGGUAGAUUUUGUUAUUGAUUUGUUGCCAGACACUCAUGUCAUUUCUAUUCUGCCAUAUAGAAUGGCUCUUGCAGAAUUAAAAGAGUUGAAAGAAUAGCUAGCAGACCUUCUAGACAAAGGUUUUAUACGUCCCAGUGUUUCUCCCUAGGGUGCACUUGUACUCUUCAUGCAAAAGAAAGAUGGUUCCCUACGUAUGUGCAUAGAUUACCGCCAACUAAAUAAGAUCACUGUUAAAAAUAAAUACCCUCUUCCUAGGAUUGAUGAUCUCUUUGACCAACUUCAAGGUGCUAAAUGUUUUUCAAAGAUAGACCUUCAUUCAGGAUACCAUCAGUUGAAAGUUAGAGAUUCAGACAUUCCUAAAAUAGCUUUUCGAACCAGAUACGGUCAUUACGAAUUCCUAGUCAUGUCCUUUGGGUUGAAUAACGCCCCUACAGCCUUCAUGGCUCUUAUGAAUAGGGUAUUCCAUCAGUUUAUAGAUCUGUUUGUUGUAGUUUUCAUUGAUGAUAUUAUGAUUUAUUCCAAGAGUAAGUAAGACCAUGCCAAUCACCUCCGAAUCAUCCUUCAGACUCUUAAAGAUCAUAAGUUGUAUGCGAAAUUUUCCAAGUACGAAUUCUGGCUUAAUGCUAUUACUUUCUUGGGGCAUAUCGUGUCUAGUGAUGGGAUUAAGGUUGAUUAACAAAAGAUUAAGGCAGUGAGAAAAUGGACCAGACCCAUGACUCUAACCGAUAUUCAGAGCAUCUUGAGUUUGGCAAGGUAUUACAGAAGAUUUUUAGAGUUUAUCUUCCAUAGCUGCACCACUUACUAAGUUGACUUUGAAAAAGGUGAAGUUCGUGUGUUCUAACACUUGUGAGAAUAGCUUUGAGAAGUUGAAAGUUAAGUUCACAACUGCUCCUAUUUUGCCUUUUCUGAAAAGUACAGAGGGGUUUAUUGUGUAUUGUGAUACAUCCCGUGUAGGAGUUGGUUGUGUACUUAUUCAGCAUGGUAAGAUGGGGUACUAUGUAUCUGAUGUUCCGACUUUUGAUGGAACAUUUGGCAUCAUCUUCUUAGGAAAAUUGUAUGUUUUCAUGCAACCAAAGUGGUAUUUAAUGAGUCUUUUUAGUGUUUUAGGGAAAGGAGUGAAUCACAGAAGAAAGUUAGAAAAAGUAGCAAUUAAAGGAAUUUGACGGUCAAAAUGGUGGACUGUCAGUCUUGCGACGGACCACCAGUUGGACCGUCAGGACUUAUCCAGAACAUGGCCUUUUGAAGGACUCAGUGACAGACCAAAUGGUGGACUGUCAGUAUUGCGAUGGACCACCAGGUGUGCCAUCAGGCCUUAUCCAGAAGCCACUCUCCAGAAGGACUCAGCAACGGACAAAAUGGUGAACCGUCAAUCUUAUGACGGAGCACUAUUUGGAUCAUCAGACCUUAUUCAAAAGCCACUCUCCAAAAGGACUCAGUGACGAACAAAAUGGUGGAUCGUCAGUCUUAUGACAAACCACCAGUUGGAUCGUCAGACCUUAUCCAGAAACAAUUUUCAUAAAGAGUCAGUGACGGACUAGAUGGUGGACUGUCAGACUUUCGACGGACCACUACUUUGGCUGUCAACUUGGACGCGACUUUUUUGAUUUUUAAAUUUUAAAUUCCUUUUUAUCUGGGAACAUAUAAAUACCAAAUUUUAGGGUUAGCAUUAUUUUUUUUUUUAUCUUUGACAAAUCUAUCAUCUAUUGAAACUCUCUGUAACGUAGUACCUUGGGAUUGAAAGAUAUCUUUGGGGAAGUUAAUCAUUCAAUUCAUUAUUGAAUAUUCAAGAAUUGAUUCCUGAGAUUUUUGUAAGUGAAUUCUAAAUCUAUUUAUGAAUAAUACAAGAAUUAUUUCUUCUUCUUCUUCUUCUAUGGAAUUUUGUGGCUAGUUCCUAUAACUAGGGUUAUGAGAUCCUUAAUGUGAAAAGCAUAUAUGGGUUGUGAAUCAAAUUGAGUUCCAUGAAUAACUGAUAUUGUAUAAACCUUUCUUUAAUUUAAUGGCUUUUCUUGGUUGCAAACUUGAAAAGUGAGCCCAAGAACAUCACUUGUCUGAAAGGAAAGUGUUUGUUAGAAAAAGAAAGUCUUUACAUGAAUUCUAAGGUCUUCAACCUUUGGAUUAAUGGCAAAUGCCCUAACAGGAUUAGCUUACAUGAGAAAAUGGUUUAAAGAACAAUGUAUCCUUUGAGUUUGACAGAAUUAAAGAAUAAUCUAUCCACUUAGGUUGAGAGACUAAGGGAUAAAAAUAGGAUUCAACCCUUCUUGCAAUUGAGUUUGCUAAAUGGAACUCUUAAGUGAUUCACAACCGUUAUUGUGCUAGCAUUUUGGUAACCAUAGCUCUGGUUUGUUUGAUCUCAUUAAAUUACUAAUUACAAAGAGAAUCAAUCGUUGGAAUACUCUUGUUACAGUCAAUUACGUUAUAAGUUACAAUUUAAAAUAAAAAACCCCUUAUUGAGGAACCUCUGAUCAAUAGUCCAGUAAUGAUUACAAUAUUUAGUGACUGUUUACACUUUCUAACGAGAGUUGGAAUUUGGGCGUAUCAGCAUCUAGGCAGUUGAAGGUGCAUGAGCGAAAUUACCCUACCCAUAACUUGGAGUUAGCGGCUGUGGUAUUUGUGUUUAAAAUUUGGUGGUAUUAUCUCUAUUGGCUACAUAUUGAUAUAUUUACUGACAAUAAGAGUUUACACUAUGUUUUCUUGCAGAAAGAAUUAAACCUCAUGCAAAGGCGUUGGUUAGACCUUUUAAAAAAUUAUGACGUGAGCCUGCACUACUAUCCAAGCAAGGCAAAUGUGGUAGCCGACACCCUCAGAAGCUUGUCUAUGGGCAGUCUUUCUUAUGUUGAAAAGGAAAAGAGGGAGAUGGUGAAGGAUAUUCACUGACUUGCAAAUCUAGGAGAACGACUCUUAGAUUCCAAAGAUGGGGGAGUGGUAACCAUAGCUCUAGUUUGUUUAAUCUCAUUAAAUUACUAAUUACAUAGAGAAUCAAUUGUUGGAAUACUCUUGUUAUAAUCAAUUACGUUAUAAGUUACAAUUUCAAAAAAAAACUUAUUCAGGAACCUCUGAUCAACAGUCCAGUAACGAUUACAAUAUUUAGUAAGCACAGUAUUCCCUAUGGGAUUCGACACCCAACCUAGUUGGGUUCUAUAUUUGACAGCGACCGCUUACACUUUUUAACGAGAGUUGUAAUUUGGGUGUAUCAAAUUUUGGCACCGUUGCCGGGGAAUACGGUUGUCCACUAAGUUUGUGAUUGUUAAUCGACCCUUUGGUCAAAGAUUCCUAAAAUUUUAUUUUUUAUAUGUUGUUUUUGUUUUGUGCAGGUUGAGUGUCUUGUAUUCCAAGUACGUGGAUAUCAGGUCAACCAUUAUUACCUAUUCAUCCAGAACUGCAGCUCAUUGGCAAAAUGGACGGUUGCCAGGACCCGAAAAGAAUAGCUGCUCAGCAAGAGUAGGAUAGAUUAACAGCCUUGGCAGCCACACAAGUAAACUAGCAGAAUGUAGACAAUGAUGGUCGGGAAGUAAACCCAAAUGAUGAGGACUUGGGCGAUGAUGAGUUAUUAAACCCAAGACGUGCAGAUAAUGUAGCCGCACCAGCAAACAGGAAUAUCAACAUAAAUUGCCAGGCUAGGAUGAGACCUGUACGCCGAGCUGUUCAGUUUGCUCUAGACGAUUAUGAUGAUGACCCUGAUGGGGUUGGUGCCAUAGGGGCUAUUAUUCCUCUACCCCUAGCACUUGGAGCUAAGUUCAAUAUCAUGAGUACCAUGAUCCAGCUAUUACAUCUUAAGGGACUAUUCGAUGGACUUGCGGGUGAUGACUCGAAUAUACAUUUGAUUAACUUUAUCUCGACAUGCAAAUCAUUCUACAAUCCAGGAUGAGGACAAAAUGCUAUUCUGCUGCGAUUAUUCCCAUUGUCUCUUUCUGGAGAAGCAACUUUAUGGUUAAAUUGUCUAACCCCCAAUUCUAUUAUAAAUUGGAAGCAAUUGAAAGAUGCUUUCUUAGAAAGGUUCUUUUCGCCGUCCAAGAGGGCACAGUUAAGAGAUGAAAUCAGUAAUUUUAGGCAGUUUCCAACUAAAGCUCUCUAUGAAAAUUGGGAGAGGUUAAAAAAUAAGCUUACUCAGUGCCUGAAUCAUCAGAUGACCAACAUCUAUCUAAAGGAGAUAUUAUAUAGGGCUGUGAAUCUGUUGACCAAGCCAGUAGUGGAUAAUGCUGUGGGUGGGUCAUUCAUGGACCUCACUUUUCCUGAUGCGUCUGAGAUGCUGGGUCGUAUGAGAAAGUAGAGCAGAUCUUGGCAUACCAGGGAUUAUGAGGUAGCAAGAUCCACUGUAUCUAUUGGCAUGACUGCAGAACAGAGGCAAAGGAAAGAGAAACGUAACCAAGACAUGACUCACAUAAAGACACAGAUGGAACUUCUUACUAAGCAUUUAUUAUCAGGAAUGACAGAAGGUUAAGGCUAUGGCAUCAUAGGGUAGAGCUGACUCUGAUUCUGAGAAAGCCAAUUAUUUGAACAAUCAGGGGGUUUUCCAAGGCAGUGGCCAAGGAAUCUAAGGUCGAAACUACUAUGAUAAAUCCGGAUACAAGGACUGAGACCAAGGAAAUUAGAAAAACAAAAAUGACAAGAGUGGGUUAUAUGUGCCUCCUAGAAAUCGUGAGGCUACUGCAAUUAGCUUUGGGAAGAUGUCCAUGGAAGAUAUGAUGGUUAAAUUAUUGAAAGGGGUCGAAGCAACUAAUACUAGAGUAGCAGAGAUGAAAAAUGAUUUAUCCUCAAUGAAUCAAUUGGUUGACUCACACUCUCCUUCAAUAAAACAGUUAGAGCAGCAAAUGAACCAACUUUUUGCUGUGUUUAAUCAGAAGAAGACUUGCACUCUACCAAGUGAUAUAGUUCAAAAUCUAAGAAAGGAUGGUUCAUGCAUUGCAAUUACCACUAGGAGUGGUAAAGUACUGGCAAGCCCAUCUGUGGGUAAGCCUAUAGUGGAUACUAUGGCAAAAAAUGUUGUUAAAGAAAAUAUUAAUUAUCCGAUAGAGUCUAAAAAAUUGGAUGAGAUCAUUCAUGAUGUUGCAUCCAAUAGUCAGCAGGCUGAUGAGUGAAAAAGAGAGGAAUACAAGGAAAAGAAAGUAGUGAUGAACACUCUCCCAAAACCACCACCUCCCUUUCCUCAAAGAUUAAAGAAAAAGGCUGAGGAUAUGAAGUUUAGCAAAUUCUUGGCCAUGUUGAAGCAAUUGACGGUAAAUGUGCCUUUGGUCGAGGCACUUGAGCAAAUGCCAGGGUAUGCCAAAUUUAUAAAGGACCUUUUGACAAAGAAAAGAGCGGUGAGCUAUGAAUCGAUGGAUAAUCUCUAUCAUUGCAGUGCUAUUGCUACAAGGUCCUUGGUGUAGAAGAAGGCAAACGCAAGAGCAUUCACUAUUCCUUGCACAGUAGGGUCUUUGGAAUUUGCUAAGGCUUUAUGUGAUUUCAGAGCUAGCAUUAACCUGAUGCCACUAGCUGUUUAUAAGAAGUUAGGUUUGAGAGACCCCAUACCCACCAACAUGCGACUUAUGAUGGUGGAUAGGUCGGUAAAAUGACCUAUUGGUAUUUUGUAUGAUGUGCUGGUGAAUGUAGGUACCUUCAUAUUUCCUAUGGAUUUCGUAAUUCUGGAUUGCGAGGUGGACUUCGAGGUACCCAUAAUCUUGGGUUGACCUUUCCUCCUAAUCGAAAGUGUGCUGAUAGAUUUGCGAGCUAAUGAGCUUUUAUUUAGGAUGAAUGAUGAAGUGGUACUUUUUAAUGUGUGCAAAUCAAUGAAACAACAUAAUGAGAUGAGCAUGUUCUCAAUUGUUGAUGUAUAUUAUAAGGACGAGUAGGAAAUACCAAUAGAAGAAAAGCUUGCUGUUGGGCCGUUAGCCACAGUUCUUAUGAAUUUUGAUUAUGAAGAUAUUGUGGAUUAUGAAGAGAACAUUUAUGAUUUGAUAGGAAUGGGAUCAUAUUCUUACACUCCUAAGAAGAUCGAUCUUGAUCUCAAGAAUCGACCAACACUACCGCCAAAGCCAUCUAUCGAAGAGCCACCGGUGUUGGAAUUGAAAAAGUUACCUGAUCAUUUGAGGUACGUGUUCUAGGGUAGUGGUAAUUCACUACCCGUCAUUAUUACUGUUGAUCUGGGUGAGCAACAGGUGAAAGCUCUCAUCUCUGUUCUUAAGAGAUAUAAGAGAGCUUCUAGUUAGACUAUUGUGGAUAACAUCAGUAUUUCUCCUGGUAUAUGAUGCUUAAAAUUUAGCUAGAGGAGGAUUGUGUACCACUAUUGAGCAUCAACAUCUCCUGAACCCACCUAUCUAAGAGGUGGUAAAGAAAUAAAUCAUCAAGUGGUUAGAUGCAGGGGUGGAAUAUCCUAUAUCAAAUAGUAAGUGGGUGAGUCCUGUGCAAUGUGUGCUUAAGAAAGAGGGCAUAACAGUGGUAGCCAAUAAGAAGAACAAAUUGAUCCCACUCAGGCCUAUUACUGGGUGGAGGGUGUGUAUGGAAUACCAAAAGAUCAACUCCUAGACGUUAAAGGAUCACUUUCUAAUGCCCUUGAUGGAUCAAAUGCUUGAUUGAUUGGCAGAAAAGGGAUGGUAUUGCUUUUUGGAUAGUUAUUCUGGAUAUAACCAGAUUUGUUUUUCUCCCGAAGAUCUGGAGAAUACCAGUUUUACAUGCCUAUAUAGCACUUUUGCAUUCAAGCGGAUGGCUUUUGGGUUAUGUAAUGCCCUUGCCACCUUCCAAUGGUGUAUGAUGUCCAUUUUCUCAGAUAUGGUUGAAGACACCUUGGAUAUGUUUAUGGAUGAUUUUUUGGUUGUAGGUGAUUCAUUUGAGUUAUAUUUGGCAUACCUGAGUAUGGUCUUACAACGAUGUGUGGAAUUCAAUCUUGUGCUUAAUUGGGAGAAAUGCUACUUUAUGAUUAAGGAGGGCAUUGUUCUCGGGCAUAAAAUUUCAGCAAAAGGGAUUGAAGUUGAUCGAGCCAAGGUUGAAGUUAUUGUGAGACUACCACCUCCAGUUUCUAUGAAGGGGGUUCGCAGUUUUCUCGGCCAUGCUGGUUUGUAUCGUAGGUUUAUUAUAGACUUCUCUAAGAUUGCAAACCCACUCUGUAAACUUUUGGAGAAAGAAAUGAAGUUUUCCUUUGAUGAAGAUUGCUUGAAGGCAUUUUAAUGCCUUAAAGAGAAACUAGUGGAAGCCUCUAUCAUUGUAGCACCGGAUUGGUCCAAGCCAUUUGAGAUCAUGCGUGACACAAGUGGUGUUGCCCUUGGAUCCGCUUUGGCGAAAAAGAGGGACAAAUUGUUUCAUCCAAUCUAUUAUUCCAUCAAAGCUUUGAAUGGAGCUCAAAAGAAUUACAUAUCACCAAAUAGGAACUCCCUGCUGUAGUGUAUGCUUUUGAAAAAUUUAGAGUUUAUCUUCUAGGUACCAAGGUGGUGGUCCACACUAACCAUGCAGCCUUGAGAUAUUUGAUGGAUAAAAAAUACGCAAAGCCAAGGUUGAUUAGAUGGAUGUUACUACUCCAAGAAUUUGACUUUGAAGUUAAAGAUAAAAAGGGUUGCGAAAACCAAGUGGCGGAUCAUCUGUCUAGGAUGGAAGGUGAGCGAGCAGUUAGAGAUGAGAUGGAGAUCAAUGAUGCAUUUUUGGAUGAGGAAAUCUUAGCUGCUGCUUUGGAGAACCUACCUUGGUACUCUGAUUUUGAGAAUUAUGUGGUGAGCGAGGUUGAAGUUGAUCGAGCCAAGGUUGAAGUUAUUGUGAGACUACCACCUCCAGUUUCUAUGAAGGGGGUUCGCAGUUUUCUCGGCCAUGCUGGUUUGUAUCGUAGGUUUAUUAUAGACUUCUCUAAGAUUGCAAACCCACUCUGUAAACUUUUGGAGAAAGAAAUGAAGUUUUCCUUUGAUGAAGAUUGCUUGAAGGCAUUUUAAUGCCUUAAAGAGAAACUAGUGGAAGCCUCUAUCAUUGUAGCACCGGAUUGGUCCAAGCCAUUUGAGAUCAUGCGUGACACAAGUGGUGUUGCCCUUGGAUCCGCUUUGGCGAAAAAGAGGGACAAAUUGUUUCAUCCAAUCUAUUAUUCCAUCAAAGCUUUGAAUGGAGCUCAAAAGAAUUACAUAUCACCAAAUAGGAACUCCCUGCUGUAGUGUAUGCUUUUGAAAAAUUUAGAGUUUAUCUUCUAGGUACCAAGGUGGUGGUCCACACUAACCAUGCAGCCUUGAGAUAUUUGAUGGAUAAAAAAUACGCAAAGCCAAGGUUGAUUAGAUGGAUGUUACUACUCCAAGAAUUUGACUUUGAAGUUAAAGAUAAAAAGGGUUGCGAAAACCAAGUGGCGGAUCAUCUGUCUAGGAUGGAAGGUGAGCGAGCAGUUAGAGAUGAGAUGGAGAUCAAUGAUGCAUUUUUGGAUGAGGAAAUCUUAGCUGCUGCUUUGGAGAACCUACCUUGGUACUCUGAUUUUGAGAAUUAUGUGGUGAGCGAGGUGAUUCCAGAAAAUCUUUCUUUUCAUUAAAGAAAGAAGUUUCUUCAUGAUGUGAUACACUACUUCUAGGAUGAGCCAUAUCUUUUUUGGCGAUGUGCUGACAAUAUAAUAAGGAGAUGUGUUCUAGAGGUGGAUGUAUUAAGCAUAUUGGAAGCAUGUCAUGCUUCCCUAGUCGGGGGUCACCAUGCAGGUGAUCGAACUGUGAGAAAGGUGUUGCAGAGUGGAUACUAUUGACCAUCAUUAUUCAAGGAUGCUCACGAGUUUGUGCUGAAAUAUGACCAAUGUCAGAGGUAGGGGUCUAUCUUUGAGAGGCAUGAAAUGCCUUAAACCAAGAUGCUUGAAGUGGAAUUAUUUGAUGCAUGGGGCAUCGAUUUCAUGGGCCUGUUUGUAAGCUCGUAUGGAAUGAAGUAAAUUUUAGUUGCUAUGGAUUAUGUAUCCAAAUGGGUUGAAGUUGUUGCCUUGUCUAAUAAUGAAGGGAAGAGAGUUGUUGCAUUUCUUAAGAAGAACAUCUUCUCUCACUUUGGAGUGCCACAAACUAUUAUAAGCGAUGGAGGAUCCCAUUUUUGCAACAAAGUGUUCUAGGCAGUUUUAGUGAAAUAUGGGGUGAAACAACAUAGAGUAGCAACUCUAUAUCACCCACAAACUAGUGGGUAAGUGGAGGUGUCGAAUCGGGAGAUUAAAACAAUCCUAGCCAAAAAAGUGAAUGCUAAUAGGCAAGAUUGGGCUCGAAAGCUAGAUGAUGCUUUUUGGGCAUAUCGGACUGCUUUUAAGACCCCUAUUGGCAUGUCACCGUAUCAGCUAGUCUAUGGAAAAGCACACCAUUUACCUGUUGAGCUAGAACAUAAGGCUUUGUGGGCUCUACAAACGUUAAAUCUGAAUUGGAAGGAGGCAGCAGAGCUAAGAUUGGGGCAACUGAAUAAGAUGGAUGAAUUUCAUCUCGGGGCUUACGAAAGAGCAGACCUUUACAAAGAGAAGAUAAAAAAGUAUCACGACCAAAGACUUGAAAUUAGAAACUUUCGGAAUGGUGAUUUGGUACUUCUGUUCAAUUCCAGGAUGAAAUUGUUUCCAGGUAAACUCAAGUCUAAGUGGUCAGGACCGUUUAAAGUUAGUCAAGUCUACUCAUCUGGAGUAGUCAAGCUUGAAAAUGAAGACGGUAGCGUCUUCAAAAUGAAUGGGUAAUGAAUCAAACUUUAUAACGGUCUAAAAGACUCCAAAAGAAGUGUUGAUAUCUUUUAUCUCGAUGAAGUCUGAGUAGUCGAGAUAACUGAGUCGUGCCGCGACAAUAAAUAAGGCAUUAGUGGGAGGCAACCCACAACAUGUUGUUGUAACCAUAGUUAGAGUCCCUUUCAUGUUUUUGUGCAAUUUUGAUAUGUUUGUGAAGUGUGUAAGACCAGAAAUACAAAAAAAUGGAAAAGAGGAAUACAGGUGUUAUUGCCCCUAAACUUCCGCAAACCAGAGAAGGAAGAUCUCAACGAUGUAGAAAUGAGUUCGCACCAAUUUACAACACUAGACAAAAUGAAAGAGAAUCUCUCAUACUCUCCCAGUCUGAGGAGGAGAGUGAGAGUACAUCUAGCAGUACAAGUUCAAGCCCCGAUGAGGCAACUAUUGCUGCAACUCAACCAUUGCCUAUAGAGGGUGAUACUGAAACUAUUAAAGUGGAGGAUCAAAUGGGAGUUCUUGAUCCUGUAGCUAAACCUGAGGGUGAUAAUGUUAUCAGGUAAAAAGAUCCAUAGAUUCAAGAAGCUAUUAGGUAGCAGAUAGAGGGGGCACAAAAAGAGUUCUAUGAUGGGUUGACACCCACAGAUCAAGGGAUGAAAGAUCAUUCAUAGAAGAACAUCAGAUUAUGACAACAGAACUUCAUGAAUAUCCAAAGUUAGAGUGCCGUUUCAAUGAAUAUGGACUGGCAUGGGUGAGCAGACCACCAGGAGAGUACUAACCGAAUUGGGUAAGGGAAUUUUUCGCAAAUUAUCUAUGUUCGGUGAAAGUGAAAUGCCCAAAGCAGAAUCCAAUAUUUAAUAGACCAAAUAGGGAGUCUAUCCUGGUUCAAAGGGCUACCAUUGAUAUCUCAACCCAAACAAUUAAUAGGAUGGUAUUCGGACCAGGAUAUGAGGCCACCGCUGUCCUAGAUUUUGAGUAUAGAAUGAGAAAUGCUUCCGAUCAGAGAUACUGGGCUGCUUCUUUAUUGACCAUUGAUGGAAAUCCUUCCUGGUUGACUAAUUCUAAAGAGCGCAUUGUAAAGUUCACCCUUAGCUUUAAAGCUAAGUUUUGGUGGGCUAUUUUUCGAUUGAGGUUAAUGCCAACAAAAGGAGAUGGGAACUUGGAUCAUCACAGAGCAGUAGCAGUACCCAGUUUGGUUUUAGGGCUACAAAUCGAUUUUGGCCAGCUAAUUAUAGAUGAGAUAUUCGUGCGGGUAUAUAAAGUAACCACUUCUAUACCCUUCCCAUGUUUGAUCACUGAGUUAUGCAAACAAGACAGUAUGCCAUUGACCCAUGGGGUUGAUAAUAAAGUACAGGCUACACAUAGGUAGGACAUUAAGAAGUCAAAGGAUGAAUUAAAAUUCAAAAUUCAUGUGACCCAGUCUCCAGCAUAUCAGCCUCAGUCUGCACUAGUUCCCGAGGCCCCAGAAAUGCCUGAAGGUAUGCCCUUAACUAUCACCACGUAUAUACCACCUAAUUAUGUGCCCCAGGGUACGUCUGCCGGGUCAGGUUCUACACAGUUUGCUGGUGAAGCAGAGUUUGCAGAAUACAGAUUCAACCCACAAAAUUUUGUUAAGGUGGUGAAGAAUCAAAAGCGGUUUUAGAAAUAGUUAGAAAAGUGGGAUGGAAAUUUCAACCCUUUUGUGGAUAAAAUUAUGGCCGAAGUAUUCAGGCCAUUUCAAACUAUUAAAGUUAGAAUGGAUAACAUGGAAGCCCACAUCAAUAAAAGGCUAGAUUCACUGCUCUCCCUAAUCUUGCCAAGCUCAUGGCAGAGUUUAAGCAGGCAAAGGAAGACAUAGAAGAGUUAAAGGAGAAAUAGUCACAGCCGCCUACAUUUGACCUAACUUUAGUGGCAAGUAAUGAUGAGGAGGGCAUUCUGGAUCUGAUGGGCAGACUCGUGAAGGAUAAAGACAAGUAGAAAAUGGAUAAAAAAGCAGCAAGAAAAGAAGAAAAAAAGAGGAAGAGAGAAGCCGUGUCACCUGAAGAGUUAGACCAAUAUAACCUAAAAAUAGCUACAAAGAAGUCAAAGAAAGAAGCUGAAAGAAACAAAACAAGAAUUAAAAAAUAAAGCGGCAGUAGUCUCUACUAGUUCUGCCCCAGAAAGAGGGCGAAGUGUAGGAUCAGUUCAGGAGAUGAUUCAUCCAAUUAUGAAGGGUGAGGUUGUGAGUACUCCUACCACCAUAGGGGCCAACAUUGCAUCAAGUGAGGAUGUAGGGACCUCAACCACCUAACAGAAACCUCAGAGGAAUAGGAGGCGACGUAAAUAUCCCAAUCUAACUAUGUAUAGUAAUUUAUUCAUUUGAGGACAAUGCUUAUCUUUUUGUGUGGGGGUGGGUGUAUUUACAUCAUUGUUGGAUGUUGUUGCCAAUAUUAUGAAUCCAAUCAUGUACUAUCUAGUAGAAGCGGCAUGUCUAGGGUGUUUUUAUUAUUGCAUUUCAAAUUCUGCAGUUUGUGAUAUAAAUAUCUAUGUUUAAUGAUUAUCAAUAAAAUGUUUUUAUUUCAGUACUUCAUUGUAAAUAUGGAUAAUGAAUGAUGUUGGCAUAAGACUAUGAGAAUGUAUGUGUAAUUAUUUACUUUAUUCAUGCAAACAUAUGUACAUAACCUUCAGUAAAUCUACAUUUGGUGUUAUUCUGUAAGAGGUGCAUGAAUCAUGUGAUGAAUAUUCCAAGAGUUGCAGAAGAGGUUUAGUUACGGUGGACGUGAGGAUUUACUUUUAGUUCUUGCAUAGUCUAAUGCCUAGAACUUGCCUGAGUCAUUAAUACGGUCUUCUAGUGGAUUUAAUAGGAUAGGAUAACAGGCCUCCUUGUAGUUUUAGCCCAUUUAGCCUAAAUAAAUAACCCUACCAAAAAGAUUUUUAUCUCAUUUGAACCCAUCUUGUGUCUGUAGGACUUUUUUUUCAAUUCUAAUAACGUUCAUUUACUCUCCGUAGGGCAUAGCAUCCUACUCUGGCCUUGGCCCAAUAUUUGGGUAUUGUGCACUUUAACUUAGGAAAAACACCUAGGUUGAGGGUGACUUUUAUCAAGGUGCAAAUUCUAAAUGGAAGUUGAGUGUAAAUUUCAGUCUAAGAACUUUUAGCCUUGAUCAGUUCAAAGAUAUUGUGUACCUUAAGUUGAGGGUGACUGUUGAUUCUUGUCUUUUUCAAUAUAUAUAUAUAUAUAUAUAUAUAUAUAUAUAUAUAUAUAAAGAGGGGUUUAAUGUCUGAAGAAGAGCCUAUUAUUAGAAGCAGUAAAUGAGUUGAUCUGGGUUACAGUAAUGCAAAAGGAGAGUUAAGUCUUAAUGAGUCACUUUAUCCAAAAGCAUAUCCUUACCUAACUUGAAUCCUCAUUACAAGCCUUGAAAAGACCUUUUUGACCCUAGCGAGUCGACUUUGAGGAGGUGUCAUAUGGAUAGGGUAAGCCUAUGGGUAUUUAGGACUAUGCUUGUAACUUCUUUGAUGAGUGUGAGAGUUUAGAUUACGUUCACAUCAUGUGAUGAGUGGUGGAUUUCAUUGUUGUGAGGGUAACUGGAGUUUCACUGAGUUUUGCUGUUCUCUGUGGGAUGUAACAUCCAUGUUUGUGUGCUGAAUUAUGAUCAAUGCCGGGUGUAGACCUUGAUGUGUUAAAUUCAUGUAAGUAAAAUGAUGGGUGAAUAGUUGCAUUAAAAUAUUUCAGUAGUUGGUUGUAGGUCAUUGUAUUGUUCAUGUUCACAAUAAGGUGCUGAGUUGCUUGAGGACAAGCAAUUAUCUUAAGUUGAGGGUGUUGAUGUUCCGGCUUUUGAUGGAACAUUUGGCAUUAUAUUCUUGGAAAAAUUGUAUGUUUUCAAGCAACCAAAGUGGUAUUUAAUGAGUCUUUUUAGUGUUUCAGGGAAAGUAGUGAAUCAUAGAAGAAACUUAGAAAAAGUAGCAAUUAAAGGAAUUUGACGGUCAAAAUGGUGGACCGUCAGACUUGCGAUGGACCACCAGUUGGACCGUCAGGCCUUAUCCAGAACAUGGCCUCCCGAAGGACUCAGUGAUGGACCAAAUGGUGGACUGUCAGUAUUGCGACAGACCACCAGGUGUGCCGUCAGGCCUUAUCCAGAAGCCACUCUCUGGAAGGACUUAGUGACGGACAAAAUGGUGGACCGUUAAUCUUAUGACGGACCACCAAUUGGAUCAUCAGACCUUAUCCAGAAGCUACACUCCGGAAGGACUCAGUGAUGGAAAAAAUGGUGGACCGUCAGUUUUAUGAUGAACCACCAGUUGGAUCGUCAGACCUUAUCCAGAAAUAACUUUUUAUGAAGAGUCAGUGAUGGACCAGAUAGCGGACCGUCAGACUUUCGACGGACCACCACUUUGGCUGUCAAAUUAGAUGCGGUUUUUCUGAUUUUUAAAUUUUAAAUUCCUUUUUAUCUGGGAACAUAUAAAUAUCAAAUUUUAGGGUUUGCAUUAUUAUCUUUUUUUUUCUUUGACAAAUUUAUCAUCUAUUGAAACUCUCUGUAACCUAGUACCUUGGGAUUGAAAGAUAUCUUUGGGGAAGUUAAAGAUUCAAGAACUGAUUCUUGAGAUUUUUGUAAGUGAAUUCUAAAUCUAUUUAUGAAUAAUACAAGAAUUAUUUCUUCUUCUUCUAUGGAAUUUUGUGUCUAGUUCCCAUAACUAGGGUUAUAGGAUCCUUAAUGUGAAAAACAUCUAUGGGUAGUGAAUCAAAUUGAGUUCCAUGAAUAACUGAUAUUGUAUAAACCUUUCUUCAAUUUAAUGGAUUUUCUUGAUUGCAAACUUGAAAAGUGAGCCCAAGAACAUCACUUGUCUGAAAGGAAAGUGUUUGUUGAAAAAAAAAGUGUUUACAUAAAUUCUAAGGGCUUUAACCUUGGGAUUAAUAGUAAAUUCCUUAACAAGAUUAGCUUACAUGAGUAAAUGGUUGAAAGAACAAUGUGUCCUUUGAGUUUGAGAGAAUUAGAGGAUAAUCUAUCCACUUAGGUUGAGAGACUAAGGGAUAAAGAAUAGGAUUCAACCCUUCUUGCAAUUGAAUUUGCUAAAUGGAACUCUUAAGUGAUUCAAAACCCUAAUUGUGCUAGCAUUUUGGUAACCAUAGCUCUGGUUUGUUUAAUCUCAUUAAAUUACUAAUUACAAAGAGAAUCAAUCAUUGGAAUACUCUUGUUACAAUUAAUUAUGUUAUAAGUUACAAUUUUAAAAAAAACCCCUUAUUCAGGAACCUCUGAUCAACAGUCCAGUAAUGAUUACAAUAUUUAGUGAGCACAGUAUUCCCUGUGGGAUUUGACACCCAACCUAGUUGGGUUCUAUAUUUGACAACGACCGCUUACACUUUCUAACGAGAGUUAUAAUUUGGGCGUGUCAGCAUCCAAGCAGUUGAAGGUGCAUGAGCGAAAUUACCCUACCUAUGACUUGGAGUUAGUGGCUGUGGUGUUUCUUCUUCGAAUCUGGUGACAUUAUCGCUAUGUGGUACAUAUUGAUAUAUUUACUGACCACAAAAGUUUACAGUAUGUUUUCUGGUAAAAAGAAUUAAACCUCAGGCAAAGGCAUUGGUUGGAACUUUUAAAGGAUUAUGACAUGAGCUUGCACUACCAUUCGGGUAAGGCAAAUUUGUAGCCGACGACCUCAGUAGGUUGUCUAUGGGCAGUAUUUCUCAUGUUGAAAAGGAAAAGAGGGAGAUGGUGAAGGAUAUUCACUGACUUGCAAAUGAUAGUGAAGGAUAUUCACUGACUUACAAAUCUAGGAGUUCGAAUCUUGGAUUCCAAAGAUAGGGGAGUGGUUGUUCAUGAGGUAGCUAAAUCUUCCCUUUGUGCAAAAAUUAAAGAGAAGCAGGUUGAAGAUCCCAUCUUAAUGUAGAUCAAGAAAGAUGUAGGUCAGCAGAAGGUGAUGUCUUUUGAAAUAGAUGGUGAUGGUAUUUUCAGAUAUCAGGGUCGACUAUGUGUGCCAGAUGUAGAUGGGCUACGAAAGAGAAUCCGUGACGAAGCUCACGCUUUGUGGUAUGUUGUUAACCCAGGAUCUUCUAAGAUGUACCAUGAUCUAAAGACCUUAUAUUGGUGGAAUAAUAUAUAGUGUGAUAUGGUUAAUUAUGUUUCCAAUUGUUUGAACUGCCAACAAGUUAAAGUAGAACAUACGAGGCUAGGUGGUACAUCCCAAGAGAUAGAUUUUCCUAUGUGGAAGUGAUGAUCAAUAUGGAAUUUAUUAUGGGACUUCCGAGGUCCCGAAACUAGUAUGAUUCUAUUUGGGUUAUUGUUGACAGGCUGACCAAGUCAACAAAUUUUCUGCCUGUGAGGACCAAUUAUUCAGGAGAUAAUUAUGACAAGCUUUACAUUGAAGAAAUAGUCCGCUUGCAUGGAGAACCUGUAUCCAUCAUAUCUGACCGAGGUACAAAAUUCUCUUCUCAGUUUUGGAGAUCUUUUCAGAGAGGUUUAGGUACCCAAGUGAAUCUGAGUACUGCAUUCCACCCUCAGACUGAUGGGCAAGCUGAGUGCAUCAUUCAGACCCUUGAGGGUAUGUUGAGAGCCUGAGUUAUUGACUUCAAAGGUACUUAGGUAGAUCACUUUCCAUUGAUAGAGUUCGCAUAUAAUAACAGUUAUCAUGCCAGUAUUAAGAUGGAUCCUUUUGAGGCACUGUAUAAGAGAAGAUGUAGGUCACUAAUAGGGUGGUAUAAAGGGGAUGAGAUGCAGUUUUUUGGGCCUAAUCUUGUUCAUCAGGCAAUGGAGGAGGUGAAUAUUAUUAGAGAACGACUUAAGACAACCCAGAGUAGACAGAAAUCCUAUGCCGAUGUUAGAAGAAGGGAGCUAGAAUUUGAAGUUGGUGAUUGGGUAUUUCUAAAAGUCUCCCCAAUGAAGGGAUUUAUGCGAUUUGAGAAGAAAGGUAAGCUGAGUCCUCGCUAUAUAGGACCAUACCAGAUUUUGAAAAAGAUAGGGGUAGUUGCGUAUGAGUUAGAGUUGCCUACAGAUAUGGGUUUUGUUCAUCCGGUAUUUCACAUAUCCAUGCUGAAGAAAUGUAUUAGAAACCAUUCCUUAGUGUUUCCUGUAGAGGACAUCAAGGUGACAGACUCAUUAGCAUAUGAAGAGGAACCUAUUACAAUCUUAGAUUGCCAAGUUUAGAAGUUGAGAAGCAAAGAGAUAGUGUGGGUUAAGGUGUUGCAGAGAAAUCAAAAAGUUGAAGAAGCAACAUAGGAAUUAGAAGAUGACAUAAGAUCAAGAUACCCAAACCUGUUUGAUCCGAUGAAUAACGAAAUGGAAGGUACAAUCCUUGAUUUAUUCUUUUACAGUCUUAGUAUACCUUAAAUCAUGCUUUUCUAUGUCCCGCGUAAUCAUUCGGGGGUGAAUGAUCCCAAGGAGGGGAUAAUGUAAUGCCCCACAUCGUCAAUGAGUUAGCUCGUGGUAAUAUGCUCUUAGAGUUAAAUGACUAGAAUAGUGUCAAUGAGACUUCAUCUCAUUUUUUUUGACUUCCAAAGUGAGUAAAGUUUAAACCAUAUAUAAUUUACCUAAUUUCGACUUUUUAUCAUGUGGUAAAUUGAAUGAGCUUUUCAUCGAUAUAAGAUUCACCCAAAUUCGAUAUCCGAACAAGAAGUUAUGACUAGUUUAAGUCCUAGUCCUAAAAUGCUGUCAUUUUGGUGCUUGGCGCAUCCCGGAGGGGGUAUACUUAGCAAUUGUCAAAUUCCAGUGGCCUACCGCAAUUGUGGCAUGUCACACUAAAGUUUUAGGUCCCAACCAGUGGGACAAUGCGAUAGCUCCGUAUUAUGGUGACAUUAAGAAUCCCAUUCAUCAAUUUCUAGUGAGCCACUGCGAUUGUGGCGCGUCGCGGUGGCCCAUAAAACUGGCUUCCCAAUUAUAUUUUAUUCCAUCUCAUUAAGGGCAUAUUGGGUAUUUUUACACCCCAUAUCAGCUUAAACACGGGAUUACACUUCCAUGUGAUCACAUUAUUCAUAUUUUCAUCAAAUAUUCACAAGAACACUCUCUAGGGUUUCAAACUAAAAAUACCAAAUAACUCAAGAUUUAACCAUGGCUUUUCAAGAUUGAUUGAAGAUUCAAAAUCCCAAAAUCGUAGGAUUCAAGACUCAUCCAUUAUUUUUGGUAUUGAGGUACGUGGGAUUUUUCCAAAAAUAUCAUGGGCAUAGAAAUCAUGAUUUUAAGAAAAGGGUUUUAGAUUUAUGAUUUAUAAUCAUGUUUUAGAAGUCACAUUGACAUUGUUUUGGUUUUUAGGCCUUUCCACAAAUUGAUUUGAAAUUCUAUAUAUAUGUAUGCAUGUGUUUAAGGAUGAAUAUUCAAUUGAGAGCAUGAAUUAUAAUGAAUUCCUUUUUUGAUUUGAUUUUUUCCAUUAUUCGUAUGAUAUGGAUUGUUUUGAAAAGCAUGAUAUGAAAGGUCUUGAUUUAUACUAUGAUUUGAACAUGAUUUUGGAAUCAAAAGAGAGGGUUGUGCAUGUAGAUAAAUGUUGAAUAUACAUAUAAUAAAAGAGUGCAUGGUUUUGCCAAAAGCACAUGACCCCCAUAUGUUUGAAGAAUUCUUGCGUAGUUUUGACUUAUGUUUCGGAACAUGAAAUCUCUUAUACUAUUUACAUGUUUGGGUGGUCUGAAUUGAGUUUUGAUGAAAGAAUCAUGCACGAUGUAUUAUGGCUCAGAAAAAAGGACUUACAAGUCUUGGUGUGACGACACCAACUCAGAUAAUGCCAUGUUAAUUCAGAAUAGAAUAGAAUGCAUGUUUAAAAUCAGAUUUUCAGAUUUUUGAAACUAGUAUGAUGCAUGUCUCAAAAUAGACUAAAAUUGGACAUAAAGAGGGCUUAGAUGGUUCCCCGAAGAAGGAACGAGUUCAGAUAACUCAUUGCCCAAAACCGUGAUUUGCCGAUCCGGGUAUAUUAUUAUAUGCUAGCCUAGUGCCCUGUGGCGUAUCAGACUCAGACACUCCAACCCUUGAGGCACACUUCGGUUUGGGGCUUCCUCGUUGAUUCAAUGGCGGAUUCCAUAUAGCCCAUGAAAUAUCAAACUUGUAGGGGAGUUCUACCUAACUCAGAAGUAAUACAAAGAUCAGAGGCUACAUUGACAGAUAAGUUUUAUGAUUAUCAAAGAUGCUCAUGUGUUUUGGAAUUUAUAUCAUACGUGAUAUUUUAUGACUGGCUCUCAACUCUUUUAUUUGUAUUAAAAGCUUUAUUUUGUAUUGCUCUGUGUACUAGUACAUCUGUAUUGACCCCCCUACCUUCUAAGUUUGGAGGCACAGUCUAGGGGUCCUGAUAAGUAGUAGAUUUCUUCAGACAGAGGUGCAGGGUCUAGUCGGUGAGCCUUCUAUAUUUCAGAAGGCCUAGUUAUUUUUAGACAUUUAUUAUCAGUUAUGGUUUUGGUCUACUGGGGGCUUUUUCCCAGUUUUCAGACAGUGUUAUUAGUCAUGUAGUAGAGAUUUCACAGACGGCUUUUCAAUGUCAUUAGAUGGUUUUGGAUUUCAUUUACCCUUGUUGAAUUUAUAUCAGACUGAUGACUAUAAUUCUGUUCUGUUAAAUAAUUCUGCAUUUUCUCACUAUUAUAUGAAUGUUGUGCAAGAUUACCUGACAGAUAGGGACUCCCGAGCCUUCAUUGUUCAGGAUGUUUGCUACAGCCAAGGCCCCAGUUCGGGUCGUAAAAAUUCAGCACCAAGUGAACCCAGGGAUGAGGGCUCACUUGUCAGGCUAUAGAGGCUGUGAUCCUUAGAAGAAAUCAUUGUAUUCCAGAACUACGUAGCCAGUGUAGGUUGAGAUGUACCCCUACAAAUCUAGGGAUUAUACAUUUCAUUUGAGUUUUCCUACUAGGAUGGGUUAACGAAAGAGCUCCCUAUCAGAGAGGGUUAACUCAUAGAUUAUCUUUACCCGUGGCAUGGUACUGAUACCCUUCCAACUGGGGUUAUAGGUUGGACCCACUAGUUUAUAUUCGUGGAAUGUCGGUUAGAUGAUUACUUCCUACAGUCUCAGUCUUAGUCUCAUAAAAGAACUCAGAUAGUUCUUUAGAUUCAGGAUUAUCAGAUACAGUCACUCAGUUCAGUACAAGAUUUAGCUAGUUCCAUCAGAAUUAGGACUGUCAGACAUAGUCACUCAGUUAAUAGUAUAUCAGUUAUACAAAACUCAUGUUAUCAGUAUUCAGACUUAGUAGUCAGUAUUAUCCUGAUCUCAUUUACAGUUACUAUUUAUGCAUGUAUUCUCACAUUCAUGUUAUUCAAUCAGUUAGUAUUGUUCAUGCAUAUGAACCCCAUGUAUUUUGCCUUCCUCACUUUGCAUACCAGUACAUUCAGACGUACUGACGCAUGUUUUUCUUCUGCACUAUGGUGUUUUAUACCAUAGGUUCAGACUCUCAAGUUCCCGAUCACACUUAGCUUUAGAUUCAGCCAGCAGUAGUAGAUUUGUAGUGAUUCCUCAUUAUUCAAGGAUAGCAUGAUUAUUUCAUUACUUGAUUAUUUCAAUUUUUGUAGAUGGAGUUAGUUAGGGACAUAUCCCAUCAACUCCACAGUUUUCAGACAGUUUAGAUGCUUUUAGACUAGCAUGUUCAGACAGUUUAUUUCAAUUUUGGUAUUGAUAUACUGUAUUUCCAGAUGUUACUUUUUUAUAAGAUAUUUGAAACUUAUGGCCUUUUAGCUCUUUUAUUCCGCAUUUAUACAGUAUAUUAUGCAGUGCUCAGUUACAGAUAUCAGUCAAGUGUAGCUUGUGGUCCUUCAGGAUUGCUAGCAACUUAUAGCUUUUUGGGUAUCAGAUUUGGGGCGUUACAAACUUGGUAUCAGAGACUAAGGUUCAAUAGAGUCCUAGGAAGUCUAAUAAGCCACAUUUAGUAAAGUCUUGUGCAUGGGUGUAUUGCGCCCUACCUUUAUGUACAGAAGGCUAUAAAAUGUUUUAAGAACAGUUUCCCUUCUUUCAGUAUUUUUGUCGGGCCAGUGAGCAUAAGCUUAAAUUUAACUCUCAGUCUAAUUUGUUUCUCCCCUUAGCACGUUUAGGUAGAUCCCCUGGACGAUCAUGUCUCCCAUUCAGAAUUCAGGACUACAUUCACUACUCUAGCCAAAUCAGUCACAACUCAGAAUAAAUAGACAGCUGCUGUUUUGGCCAACUUAGUGGCCAAUACUGCUGCUGUCAGGACUUGGGACUUCACCCGAAUGAAUCCUCCCCUAUUCUCAGGUUCUAAAUCCGAAGAGGAUCCACAGAAGUUUCUUGACUAAGUUCAGAAAGUCACAGAUAUCAUGGGAGUAACUUUCUGUGAGAGUGCUGAGUUAGCCGCUUAUCAGUUACAAGAUAUAGCUCAUACAUGGUUUAGAAAGUGGAAGGUAGAUAGGGGUAUAGAUGCAGAGCUCAUAGAGUAGGAAGAGUUUGCUACUACCUUUCUAGACCAAUUCUUUCCCCUAGAGCUGAAAAAAGCCAAAGUGUGAGAGUUCAUCAAUCUCAGACAAGGUAGCAUGAGCGUAAAAGAAUACUCCCUCAAAUUAACUUAGUUAGCUAGGUAUGCUCCCCAUGUAGUAGCAGACAGUAGAUCCAGAAUGAGCAAGUUUGUGUCUGGGGUAUCAGGUAGAGUGGUUAAGGAGUGCAGGGCAGCUAUGUUGAUUAAAGAGAUGGACAUAUCUAGGCUUAUGGUCCAUGCUCAACAAAUUGAAGAGUAGAAGCUUAAGAAGAAGGGGAGAGAGAAUAAAGAGCCAGAAUAGGUAGCUAUAGUUUUUCUCAGCCAGGGUCAUAGGGUCGUAACCGUUCUCAGCAUAGUCAGAAGUUUUUAAUCCCACUUCCAUCCUCAGCUAGUACACUAGUACCAAAGUUUAGAAAUGAUCGUAGGGAUGGGGCGCUAGGCUCUAAAGUCCACGGUAGUGAGAGCAGAAGUUUUACUAAUCCUCUUAUGAAGAGUAUGGUAAGUAUCAUAAGUGGGUGUGUAGAGCUAGCAGUGAUGUGUGUUUCAGAUGUGACGAGUCAGGUCAUAAGGUCUGAGACUGUCCUAAAACCAUCCCUCAAAGUCAGCACAAUCGUCCUUCAUCCCAGUCUAGUCGCCCGAAUCAGCAAGGUGCAAAUUUCAGCACUAUUAAUGGGCAACACCCAAAUAGACUCUAUGCUCUUUAGUCCUGAUAGAAUCAGGAAAAUCCUCUUGAUGCAGCCACUGAUAUGUUACCGAUCCCUCAUUUACAUGUUCAUAUUUCUUCAAAUUUAGGAGCUUUUUUUCUUUUGUAACUCUUUACAUAGAAGUCAACUUUAAGGUUAGACCAAAUAUUAAUAGGACCUUUUACUGUCUCCACCCAUCGGGUUAGCCCAUUAUAGCCCUGAAGGUAUACAGGGAUUACCCGGUUAUGAUAUCUCAUAAAGUCAGGCCUUCAGGUCCUAGUAGAAAUACCAGUAUAUGUAGGAAAUCUAUAAGGGAAGAUGAUUCCAGACCCAUUCCCACCUCAGUGCAAAGUUUUGUACUUCAACCAUCAUGAUACUUACGCAUUCUUUGCGUUUCAGUCCCAUGAAUACAACUUAUAUCCAUGUGCUUUUCAUAGAAUAAUGUGUGUUUAAAGUUUCUCGUAUGAGGAGUUCCAGUUGACCCAGUGUUACGCACAUGUCCCAUGAACACAGAAAUUCCAGGCUCAGGUCAUGCAACUCAUGACUCAUGCUCCACUCCUAGUGAUCAGCCAAACUUAGAUUAUGUCACGUAUACUCUCAGUUUAGAUCUCUCGAUGAAUUCAUGGUGUUGAUGCUCUAUCCCUCAGGCCUUAGUUACAACGUUAGUUCAGUAAUCAAUUCAGCAAAAGACUCAGAUAGUCCUAUAAGACCAUGGCUUUCAGUUAUAAGUUACUUAGCCAUCAGAAUUCAGUACUUCAGUACCAGUCUAAACCUCAGUUAUUAGAAAGUAGCAUUCAAUUUUAGUUAUAGUCUUAGUUACGAUUACAGUCUCAAUUACCAUCUUAGCUAUAAUUUCAGUCCCAGUCCUAGCUAGUAAUCCAUUCAGUAACUCAGUUUAGUUUCAGGAUUUCUCGACCAUAGCAUAUGGCCAUCAGUUGUUAGUUAUUAGUAUUUCAGUUCCCCAGUUUACAAAAUGUUUUAGAAAUAUGUUAGAUGCCUGAUCUUUCAUUCUUAAGGUAAUACAGUUUUGACUCACUCAUGCUCAGUUACCUCAUGUUACCAGUCAGUCAUUACCUUUUAUGUAUUAUACUCUUCAGUUUCAGUCCUGUUGUUUAGACUAAGUUCAGUUAAGUCUUGCAGACCCAACAUUUAGUUAUCAGUCCUUCAGUUAAUCAGAUGAGCAGUAUAUUUAAGCAGUCAUGCUCAAUACCCAUAUGAAUAUUUUUGGUGGUCUCAAGUGACGUAUUAUACUAAGGUGGAGAGUACAGUUGAAAGAGUGCCAAAGAAGUACUUUAGUUAAGUAUAAGAUUUUAGUAUGAGUUAGUUUAAGCAGCCAGUAAUUCAGUUAAACAGUCAGGCGAACAAGUUUGGAUGGUGUGGUUUCCCUUCGUUUCAUCUAGUUGCACUAUCCAGAGUUCCAUGAAUGUGAUCAUUCUAGGAUGGACCAACCAGGUAGUUGCGUUCUUAGCUUAGUUCAUGUAUCAUGUCUUAGUUUCAGAACCCAAAUAUUCAUUCACAAUUCAGUUCAUAGGUGCCUUGUGCAUCACCCUAGUUUUCCUCAGUAUCUCAGCAAAAUCAGUAUUCAUCAAGGGACUUAGUGUCCCAAAGGAGAGAUACACUAUAAUCCCCUGAACUUUUAUGACAUAAAUAUGCUACUCUCUCUUCUCAUAAUGAAUACAAUUAGGAGUUAGGGAUACUCAUAAGUUGACCCUCAAACUCCGAUCUCAGCCGUAAGCCACAUAUUCAAGGUGCUCUGUUUAGAUCAUGAUAUUCAAUUUAUAUACCACAUUUCAGGCUUAAAUAUGUUCCCAUGUUCCCAUUCAUGUGUGACCAGUAAGUGAUCUCGGGUUCAUCAGUAUUUUUAGUUUAAGGUAGCAGUCUUUCAUGCAUUCACUUAGUUCCAUGUUCAGAUUCCAUUACAAACUUGGUAUUCAUUUUCAUGCUCAGAUUCCCAUUAUAAACUUGGUAUCAAUAACUAUUGCAUAUUCAGUCAUAUGUUCAUGUGUCAGUUCAGUCAUGUAUUCACACAUCAGAUAUGCAUGCUCAGCUUAAUAAAUUCAACUUACCAGUAGUCCUAGUCGUGCAUUUAUUCAGUCAGAUAUUCAUGCAUCGAAUAUGCAUGUUCAGUAUAAUACAUUCAGCUUAUCAAUCAUGUCAGUCAUGUACUCAUGUUUAAUUUGUUCAUGUUCCGUAUGUACUUCAGCUUAUCAAUUCUCCCAUCUCAGUCAGUCCCAUUCGAGGAGGAAUGUUCCCAAGGGGGAGAUAUUGUAAGACCCCGCAAAAUUCCUAAGCUUAAUUUAGUCCUUUAACCUUGUCAAGGGGGUCCCAGAAUUAGAAAAUUCUAGCUAAGUUUCCAGACUUGGUUUAUUUUUGGCCUUCGAAAGUUGGCAAUCUUAUUUCGUGACCUUAAUGUCCUUUAAUGGUCGGUAUUCUCGCUAAUUCAUGAUCAGGGAGGACAAUUAGUGUUCCUGGACAAGUUUUGGAUUUUUUGGACCUUGUUUAGACCAUGUUUGGUGUCCCAAAAUAGUGGACCAACGUGAUCUUGGCGUGCCGCGUCGCCUAUCGCAUUUAUUAACAUUGUUACAGGUUGCCAAAGCUAAAAGUACUGAGGCUUGCAGAGAUCAUGGUGCGAUGCAUCGGUUCCAUUGAUGAGCUGUGUCGCCAAUCGCGUUGAUGCCCAAUUUUUAGUCAUUAAAUAUCCUCAUCUUUAAGGGAAAAAGGGUCAAUUUUCCACCUCUAUAUAAGCCUAUAACAUGAGAUUCAACUAGGUUUUCACCAAGAUAUAGUUGUUUCUCUCAAAUUCCCUUAAGAACAAGUCUAGGGUUUUUAAUUGAAGGUUCUAAUCCAGGAGUUUCCAUCGUUAAUCUUCAAGAAACUUCCAUCUAAGGUCUAUAAAGUGUUGAUUUAUGGGUUCCUUUCACCCAUAAGGCUCAAGAAACCCUUUCAAAAAUAUAAAUUUUGAAUUCCAUGUUAUGAAUUGAAUCAUAUCCAUGUUUAUAUUGUUGUAUGAUUACCAAGUUAAAAUUUUCAAUACAUAUAAUGAAAUUAUGUUAGCAUGUGGUUGGAAUUCUUGUAUUUGAAGUAAAAAAUAUUGUAAUGAUGUAUUAUUUUAAUGUUCAUGCCUAAGCCUCAAGUUAUGCAUGAAAGGUGUUUGCUAAAAUGCCUAAGAGAAUAAGAAUUAUGCUUUAUGACUCAAUUCUGACCAAAUUGAUGAAUCUAUGCUUUACCCUUCUGUCCACAAUGACCUCCAUGUUAUUGUUAUGCAUUGUAAUGGUUUGGUGGAAUGCUCAUGAGAUUAGACUUAUGAAAUUAUGACAUGUUUAUAUAUGUAUUCCUAUUCAUGUGUAAGCUUAUGACAUGCAAAUACUUCAUAAAAAUAUCCAAAGUUUGUAUUAUGAAUUAUGGCCUAUGGUUAUGUAUUUAAAGAAGUGUCAUGUCUUGUCAGUUCAUGAUAUCGAGUCCAGGGGUACUUGUACCUAAUAAUUUAGCCGUGUGCCUAGAUCCAAUGUCAGUUUUCAAUAUACUCUUAGUCAAGCCAUGAUACUUAGUAUUCAGUCAGUCACAUGACUUAGGAAAACACAGUAAAUUCAGUAUCAGUCCAGUCUUUCAUAGUACUCAGUAAUCUCAGUCAGUUUUUAGAUCUCAGUAGUAUUCCAUCAGUCAACGAAACUUAAUGAAAUCAGUCCAGUUCAGUCAAUAACAUGAUCAGUGAUAGCUCAGUCAAGCCUAGUAUGAACUAAGAGAUCAGUUCAGUGUCUAUUCAAUAGGGAGUAGGAUUCAGCACCGAGUGAAGCCAGGGAUGAGGGCUCACCUGUCAGCUAGUAGAGGGUGUGAUCCUUAGAUGCAAUCCUUGCAUUUCAGAACUACAUAGCCAGCGUAGGUUGAUAUGUACACCUACGAGUCUAGGUAUUAUACAUCUCAUUUAAGUUUUCCUACUAGGAGGGGUUGACGGAAGAGCUCCCUGUCAGAGAGGGUUAAAUCAUAGGUUGUCUUUACCCGUGGCAUGGUACUGACACCCUUCCAUCUAGGGUUAUAGGUUGGACCUCACCAGUUCAGAUUCGAGGCAUGUUAGUUUGAUGAUUACCUCCCACAAUCUCAUUAAAAAAACUCAGAUAGUUCUUAAUAUUCAGGACUGUGAGAUAUAGUCACUUAGUUCUGUAUGGAGCUCAGCUAGUUCCAUCAGAAUCAGGACUGUUAGACACAGUUACUCAGUUAAUAGUAUAUUAGUUAUAUGGAACUCAUGUUAUCAGUAUUUAAACUCAAUAGUCAGCAUUAUCCCGAUCUCAUUUACAGUUACGUAUUCGUGCAUGUAUUCUUACGUUCAUGUUAUUUAGUCAGUUAGUAUUGUUCAUGCAUAUGAACCCCAUGCAUUCAACCUACCUCACUUUGCAUAACAGUACAUUCAAAUGUACUGACGCAAACUUUUCUUCGGCACUAUAGUGUUUUAUACCAUAGGUUCAGAUGCCCAAGUUCCCGAUCGCACUUAGCUUCAAAUUCGGCCAGCAGUAGUAAAUUUGCAGUGAGUCCCCAUCAUUCAAGGAUAGCAUAAUUAUUUCAUUACUUCAUUAUUUUAGUUUUAGUAUACAGAGUUAGUUGGGGACAUGUCCUAUCAACUCCAUAGUUUUCAGACAGUUUAGAGGCUUUUAGACUAGCAUGUUCAGACAGUUUAUUUCAGCUUUGGUAUUGAUAUACUGUAUUUCUAGAUGUUAUGUUUUUAUCAGAUAUUUGAACUGUAUGGACUUCCAGCUAUUUUAUUCUGCAUUUAUACAGUAUAUUAUGUAGUGCUCAGUUACAGAUAUUAGUAAUGGGUUAGCUUGUGGUCCUUCGAGAUUUCUAGCACUAUGUAGCAGUCUGGGUAUUAGAUUUAGGGCGUUACAACACUACAAGGCCACCCCUUUAUUUGGUCCCAUAAAGGGCCUUUUGGUCAUUUUUGUAAUAAGUGAUGCCCUAGUCUAUAAAUAGAAUAUUUUGGUCAUUUUGUCAUUUAGAACUUUGAUGAUAUAUCUUGUAAACUCAUUGAGAGUGUUUGGCAAGGUGGUAUCCUUUUGGCAAGGUGGAAUCCUUGUGUUGUUAACUUGCUUAGAAACGGUGGUUGCUUGGGAGUUCUAAUUCCCUUGAGGUCUUCGUAAGAGUAUAGGUGUCUUGUAUUCAUGUUGUUUGUGUUUUGAUGUUUAAUAUACAUCUUAGUACUAUAAUGUGUAGUACAUUAUGUCUCACUAUCUAUCCUCUUAGUUAUAGUCAUUUUGUUUUCCAUUUUGUGUUGCUUAUUCAUCUCGUGAUAGUGGACUGUUUUGUGCCAUUUUGUAGGCUAUUUUAGCACUUCAUAGGUUGUUAUGGUAUCACAAUACAACUAUAACUCCUAUAACCUAAUGUCAAUAUUAUAAGAACGUAUCUUGUAUAACUCGAAUUCAAAGAAAUACAUAAGAAAUCCAAUAGAUACAACUUUAUCUCUGGAACUAGUAAAGACAUAGUCUAAUGAUAGAGAAAGAUAGUAGAAGAUAUCCAGAUGCCUGAAGAUCAUCCACUACCUUGAAAGCUCCAACAAUCGCUAGAGUCAAGUAACAUGGGACACACUCGAACCUGAAUCUGCACCUGAAAGGUGCAAUAGGAGUGAGUACGGUCCACUUAUACUCAGUAGGUACCAUAGGCCGAUUGAGGAAAGUAGAAAAUAAAACAUAAAAAAUAAACACUAGGGAAAUGUCACUUGUAAUUAGAAAUUAUCCCACAAUGGUAGCCCAAACCCCUUGCACAAACAGUUCUAAUAUAUUAUAUAUAUUGCAACAAAUACAGAAAAGACCACAAGUGUACAAUAUGCCACAUACAAGUAGGAUAAGGAAGGACAAUAUACAUACAAGAUCAUUGAGUACAAGUACAAAGAGAGAACAAUUAUAUAGGUAAUAAGUCAAAGUAGAAUUAAAUCACAUCACAACCAUAACGAAGUAAACACAAUAAGAAUGAUAAUGAUUGUCACACCCUUUUUUCUCUUGAUGGCGGUUGAAGGGUGUUUCCAAUUUAAGUGAUGGUUUUGAAUAGGGAUUAUUUUAUUUAUAGAUUCGUCGCUUGAAAUUGAGUUAUGGUGUUCCAAGUCACCUUAUUGGAUCCUUAAUUAAAAGGAAAUGAUUCUUUAUUAGUUUGGGAAAAUAGAAGAUUGGGUAAUAAAUUUUAUUGAUCGAGAGGAAGGUAUGAGGCACCCCUUGAGUCCCAUGGUUCUAGCACGGUUACUUUAUUCAACUUAUGCUUUACUUAAAUUAUUUAGCAUAAAUUAUGUUUGCAGGCCUUUAUUCACUCAUUUUUAAUGUCUAAUAUCUGUCUAUAUCUCUUGUAUUAAGCUAGUGAAAAUUAAUUUUAGGACGAUCUUUGCCAAAGUGCACUAUUGCAUCCUCGAAUUAUUUUUAAAACGUCUUAGAAAGAUGCAUACGCCACAUUCUUAAUUGAGACCAAUAUAUUACGCGUGCCUAAAACUUUUCUAACAUCAAAGGUACUUGUUCGUCUCUUGUAACUCGAGACAAUCUUGUCCUAUACAUUUUUACUCUCUUCACCCUUUUAUCUUUUAAAUUUGCAACAAGUCUUGGAUUACUCCACAACUUGCCUCACUCUCUCACAAAUGAUUGUUCCUUCUCUUUUCUUUUCCAUUAUACGAUGGGGUUUAGAAUAAAUCCGCAUCCUAUCUCGCACCCUUACAUAUGUUAAUUAAUGUGAAGUUAUUAGAGACUUAAAUAUACAUAUAUUUUAUACCUAAAAUAUUUCUGACUUAACAAUAGAGAGAUCAAAUUAACAAUAUUAGAUUAUAUACUCAUAAUUUACCUGGUGACUUAAUGGAUUUAUUUUAAAGUAUUUCACAUGGACUCAAAACAAAGAAUCAAGUGAAUUCAAACAACUAAUUGACCAAAUAAUAUAAAUAAUACAAACCAAGGCAUGCUAACAUACAACAAAAAUUAAACAUCUAUAUUAUUAAAAAAUAUUUUGAUUUUUCUAUAUUAAUACCGAAACUGAAUAAUUACCAAAAUAAAUACAAAAACAACAACUAUGAAAGAGUACCCAAUCACUUUAAGUGAACAUAGAGUUUAAAAUAGUAGGUAACAAAAUUGGAAAAAAAAAGUUAUUAUUUUGUAUUUUUAUUUAUUCUUCAAAGUUUUUAUGAAACAAAAUUAUUUAAAUUCCAUUUUUUACUGUAAUUUAUGCAUACAACGUAAAGGUAAACAAAAAUAACGAUAAUUGACCUCCAUUGUUAAACCAAGUAACAAGGAUUUCUUAUUUAGAUGAUCCAUAUUAACCAAUGAUUAAAUCAAUAUAACCGAAAAAUAAAACAAAAUAUAUAAAUAAAUAAGUAAAUAGAUGAAACAUUCCAAGUCAAUAACCUAACCACGCAUAGUAACAACAAAUGGAAAUAAAAAUAACAUCAAAUUAGACAGGUAUCAUGUUACAGUUCAAGUAAUAUUCAUGAAAAUAAAUUAAGGCAGUAGAUGAACCUUUAGAGAAGAUUUCCAAUAUUGAAUUCCAAAAAUAAGUAUAACAUUUGAAAUAGAUCAAUAAAUAAAAUGAAAAUCUUUCAACGGGAGUUAAUACCGACAGUCUCAAAGAGACUCGACGGCAACCAACAAGACUCUUAC